rnacentral:lncRNA from 1 species
UCGUGCAAUUGCACAGUCAUUCAGAGUACUUCAAUAUUGGGUUUUCAAGUUUUGUAUGUUUAGUCGAUUAAAAUGUUUAGUCACUCAUUCUUAAUCCUUUUUUCUGAUUUUCAAGUUCUUUAGGGCCAUAAACAGUUUUUCAAACUCAUUAUUAUUUUUUAGGUUGAUUUCCUACUCGUGGAGAACAUUGGCAAGUCCAAGGAUUAGGCUGGCGAUGGAACUACUACCUCUGUUGUUAUUGUGCAAGGUUUGAUCGCUGGACCUUGAACAAGAAUGCCUUACACACAUUCUGUAAUUGAAGCGUUCUCUAAAGCAAAAGAGCAGUAGAAGGAAUAGUGAUGGCCGGAUCUGCUCUUUCUUAAUUGAAGAUGUCUGUGAUGUUGAGGAGCUUAAAGCAGUUAAUGCUCUUUGAAAAUUGUUAUUACAGAUGAAUUGAUUCCUGAAGACGAGUAUCUAAUGAUUGUUAAGGCGUAUUUUCAUGAACUUCCUUUCUUAACAAAUGUUUCAAUGCUGGCUGUAGUAACAAUUUCAUAUCUUGCAUCUCCCGGGUGCAUCAUGUUCACGGGUUUGAAAAAGCAUUUGUGGUAAUGCUUCAAAGCUUGUACAAUGUCUCCCAAUGCUAAUAUCAUAUUUUGUAUGGCAAUUAAAAUUUAGCUAUACAAUCUUAAUAUGCAAUAAAUCAUUGUAUACAAAGUUUUCUAUUGAUUAUAUGGUGACUGAAAUUAGAUUGGAGAAGAAUAAAAAGAUACUGUUAAAAGGUUAUUUAAUUAGCGCCCUCUGAAUUUCUUGGAGUUAAUGUAGUCAAUUGCCCAAUUUUGCUGCCUGUGGAAGAUACACAGUAUGGAGUCCUCAUCAAACUCUGAGACACCUAAUAAAUAGUAGGAGGGGUUGGUAUUCGCCUGGUGUUAAUUUCCUGGCAAGUAUAGUUCACAGAUAAAGGGGUUCUUUUCUUGAUGUCUAAAUACCGUAUGUGAUACAACAUCGUGUAUUCCAAUUUUUCUCCAGUUAAAUUUUAAUAAGUUAGGAAAGUUAAUUUUGUUUUAGCAAUGAAUUGUUUUCUUAAUAAUAAUUGCCAUGUUCCUCUGAAGUCUUAUUAAUGCCAAACCAACAACUACUAGGUUCAUCUCUCGUUCACUUCCUCAGGGAUUCUCGAGGGCAUUCUUUGGCAGGUAGUCUUUCUUGUUGAGCUCCUGGAAUUACUUUUAAUUUAUCAUCUGUUGGGUUUUGCUUUUUGAUUGCUUUGUGAUUUGUGUUUUUAUCGCUUUGUCGCUCAUUAAUCUUGGCUGUUUUGAAUCUGUGUUGGAUUUAGACGUUUGGAGUUGAAAACAGUUAAAGCUUAGACUAGUAGAAGAGAUUUAUACAUUCAUUUAUCUUGGACAAAGUUUUUGGGGGAAAAGAAAAAUUAUAAGUAUACACUUUCCAAUGGUUCGGUGAUGUUUGAUUGGUUUAAAGAUGUUGGAUCUCUCAUCAGAUUUCUUAUGUAUCGACUGCUGUUGCCACAGGAUGCUCGCAGAUCCUGCUUUUUUGUAUAAACUUCUACCAGAGCAGGCUGCCACAAUUGGUUGCACUGUUUUGUGGGAGUUGGAGAAUCACAAGGAGAGGUGUUUUUUCUCUCAUAACAAAGGAACUCUCCCCUUCCUUUUUAUUCUCAUUUUAUAUAUUAAGCUAAUAAAUGUUUGUUUCUGUUGUGAUGGGAUAAAGCAAGAAUGGGAUCUUUGCCCUAAUAAAUGUGCUCACAGUAACAGCAUGUAAUGCUUUUGUUGUUUGGUCGCUUGCUCCUUGUCAUUCUUAUGGAAACACCUUCCGGUUUGACUUGCAAAUUACAUUACAAAAGCUCCCAAACAAUAUAUUUGAACGGCGGUACCCAUUUCGAGAAUUUGACUUGCAAAAGAGAAUCCACUCCCUUUUUUACAAGGCUGCAGAGUUGUGUAUGGUGGGAUUAAGUGCAGGAGAAGUGCAAGGUUCUUUGUCAAACUAUCUUGCUGGUAAAAAGGACAGGUAAACAUGGUUGCAAAACUUCCUUUUCAUUCCUCGUUCACUUAUUCGUUAUAAAUAAAGAAAACUUAGAAGAUUGUUCUGUUUACUGUCUAAGCCAGUUUAACAUUUAUUAAAUUACCCUUGUAAAAGAGAAUCCACUCCCUUUAAUGUCUGACAGGUUAUCUGUGACAAACAUGAGAUAUCAGCUAUUGUGUGGAUUUGAUAGAGCGGUCAUCAACCAUUUUGAUGUUAUUGGAGUAGUACUGUUCUUAAGCACUGCUUUGAGGUCUCUCCCUCUAUCUCUUUUACGCAUUUGUUUAUUGAUCUACAUCUCUAUAUACAUUGAUAGACUAAUCUGGUCGUACCAAAUUACCCUUGUUUUAAUGUUUUGUUUGUUAAACUUUGACUGGGGAAUCUGUUUAUUUGUCUGAUAUGAUGUUAGUGUGGUUUCUAUUGAAGUGUGUAGAUCUAUCACCGAGUAUUAUUUCAAUUUUUCUUUGCUUAAUCAACUUGCAUCCUUUCCAAGUCCAGAUCCUUAACAAUAGCGAGACUUCGCUACGGAAGUACAAUUUCUCUAGUUUUACAGUUAAAUACGUAAGGAUGGUUUUAAAUUAACUGAACUCUGAGGUAGUUUUCUAAGGAAAUACAAGCGGUGAAUAUGGUUCCAAGUUUUAAGUGCCUUAAUUAACCCAUUUGUUCAGCCCUGUGCGUAAACAAUCAGUAAUCGCUGUCCAAAUUCUUCUUUACUGCCUAUAUGUGUUGGACUUUGUCUAUUGUUCAACUUCUCAAAUGGAUUCCAUGCAGGGUUCUUAAUGUCCAAUUAGGAGAAAGAUCAAGGCUUGCUUGGCAAGGAGUGGAAGUGGAUCCGCUACUUCAGUCAGAUGACCUUUUCAAGAAGGCUUACAACAGGCCAUCUCAGGAUGUCAAUGGCUCAACUCAAAAGUCCCCAAGGUGGUUGAUAUCAAAGAAUGCCAUUGUCUCUGGGCUUCGGCUCCUUGGCAUCAAACAAGGGAAUGUCGACUCUGUUGAAAUGGAAGCAAGGGCUCCUAAAGUGCGAAGAAAGAGGAUAGCCCGGAAGAAGGUGACCGCAUAAAUUUCUUGGGAGUUAAUCCUAGUCAAUAGCCCAAUUUUGCUGCCUGUCGAAGAGAUACAACACGGAAAUCCUCAUCAAACUCUUUGAGACAUCUAAGAACUUGUAGGGAGGUGGUGGUAUUCACCUUGUUUCCUGGCAAGAAAUUUAUGGAACUUAUCUUCUAAAAACCAGCCAUGGCUUCAAAUUCAAUCACCUCAACACUCCAAUAUUGGCUUGUAAACCACCCACAAAUCCUCAACUUCACAUGGACACAAAACCAAACCCCAGCUUCCUCCCCACACUUCCUCAUUCUCUCCAUCCUCACUUACCUCUCCCUCACAUUCAUCCUCUACCACACAUCAACAUCAACAUCACCACCAUCAUCACCUUUCAUUGGACCCCACAUCCUCAAGCCCAUCACAGCCGUCCAUAACCUCACCCUCCUCCUCCUCUCCCUCAUCAUGGCCGUUAGUUGCACUCUCUCCAUCAUCGUCCAUUUGCCCCACCUCCAUUACACCCUCUGUUUCCCCCCCACCAUUUCUCCGUCUGGCCCCCUCUUCUUCUACGCUUACCUCUUCUACCUCUCCAAAAUACUCGAAUUCGUAGACACCCUUUUGAUCAUUUUGUCAAACUCCGUCCAACGGCUCACGUUCCUCCACGUCUAACACCAUGCAACCGUCGUCGUAAUGUGCUACCUUUGGUUACAGACGAAGCAGUCUUUGUUUCCUAUUUCACUUGUGACCAAUGCAAGUGUGCAUGUGAUCAUGUACGGGUACUAUCUAUUGUGUGUGAUGGGGUUGAGGCCAAAGUGGAAGAGAUUGGUCACUGAUUGUCAGAUUGUUCAGUUUGUGUUUAGUUUUGUUGUUUCGGUUUUGAUGCUGUAUUAUCAUUUUACGGGAUUUGGUUGCUCUGGGAUUUUGGGUUGGUGCUUCAAUGCUGUGUUUAAUGCUUCUCUUUUGACACUUUUUGUUAAUUUUCAUUCCAAGAGCUACGCUAAAAAAAAGCAGGGAUGAUCAGAACAAAUAGUUUUUGUGAUUGUUUUGUGCGUGCGUGUGUGUGUGUGAUUUUUUUUUUCAAGUUUGAUUUUGUUUAAUUAUGAAGGGUUGUGAUCUGUUCAUUGCAAUUGACAGAGAUGUUUUCAGUUGCCUAGACUUCGUAUUUUCAGUUUUAGUAAUAAAUGUCGUUUUUCACCACAUUUGUUUAGUCUCUCGCUUUUAAAUCCCCUCUCACACACAAAAAAAAUUGGAUUUGUAUCUUGUAAACAAAUAUUUUUCAUUUUGUUAAUGUAUUAAUUAUUGUUAUCUACAUUUAUGUGAUAGGGCACAUGCCACAUCGACUAAAAUUAAGUUAUGAAAUUUUGCAGCCCCUGAGCACUCAAUGUUUGUAGGCACAAGUUCAAGUCCCACCAUUUGUUAGGAUUUAAAUAAAGAACAUUAUAACCAUGCGUCCAAGAACUUAAAGAUAGCUUAAGUGCAUGGAUUCGAGUCCUAGUUAUUGUUGGAAUUCGAUUUCCUUUCUAAUUAAAUUGGGUAAGGGUAAAAUUAUCUCUCAAUUAAUAAGGACAGAGUAGAUAUUUCUCUCGAUUUUCCUCCCAAUUAAAUUAGUUAGAAGUAAAAUUAUCUCUCAAUUAAUAACAGUAGAAUAAAUAUCUCUCUAGUAUUAUGCAAGGGUAGAAAUUUGGGCUGUACCAUGUUAGAAUUAUCAAGGAUAGUUUUGGUAGAAUUCUAAUUGUAAUAUAUGAGUGUAUAAAAAAAAUGAACAUCAAUGAAAGAUUUUAGGCAAGAACUAUCUUGGAAUAGAAUUUUGAUUGUAAUAUAUCAGUAUAUAAAAAAAUUUUAUGAAAAAUGUUUAACAAGGACUAUUUUGAUAUUUUAAUGAAUAGUAAAAAUUAAUGUUAAAAUUUGAUAGACGAGUGUAUAGUAAGAUGUGCAAAGUAUUAGAACAUAUAUAAAUAAUCCUAGCUCUAAUAAAAUUUUGCUACAAAAUUAGUUUAUCCCUUAAAGAAACAUAUCAAAAAAAUAUACAAAAACACAAUGCAUGAGUACAUGUCAAUCACAAAUGAAAGCAAUUAAGAUAAAGGAUAUGAUUUAUUUUAUUUUAUUUUAGUUAUUUUUUUAAUUAUUUUUUGUUUCUUUUGAAACAAGACCAAUUAGAUCAUGCAAGAAGUAAUUUUUUUUUUAAAUAAAAAAGGAGAAAUGAUGAAACCCACGUCCAAAGAUGCCGUUGUCGCGGAGGCCUAGAUCUCACUACACCCCAUCCCCUUCUACCAUAUUUUAUAAUUGAAGAGGCCAUUAUUGAAUUGAAAAAUUAUGAUUCAAAAACCCAAAAAUAGAAAAAGAAAAGCAAUUGUUGGAAACACACUCGGAGUUUUAAAUUGACAUGAGAAAAGAAUAUAUUCAUCAACCUCAUACGUUAAAGAUGCGACGAGUUUGAGAUUAUGAGCCAAAUUCCUAACGUGUGGGAAUUUAAAGAUGUUACUACAAAACAUGUGUUCGUCGGUGGAGUAGAAUCAGGGAAAUUAAAGAUGCUACUACAACCACUAACGUGUGGGUGGGGAUAAGCAUAACUUUUUUCAUCAAAUGCCAAAUCCCCCCAGGUGGAGAGUGGGGACUCCUUCGCAUAAAUGUUGAUAAAAUUUUGAUUAUGAUGUUAUUAGAAAUUAGGAAAAACCUGUGGUGCAACUGUGGUACCGUGUUAUAGUUGCAUCCAGCCGUUGGAUACUAGUGGACCCUAUUGUUAACAUAUAUGUUUCCAUAAUAUUGAUUUUGAUGAUAACAAACAAAAUUAAGAAUGAUUAAUCUUUUAAGCUCAAAUUAUUUAAUAUUCUUUUUAAAUAAAUCAUUAUUUUCACAUUAUAAAUGUUUUAUAUUUAAUGGAAAAAUGAUUUUAUGAAAUUGAUUGUUUUUAUUCUCUUUAAAUAAAUCAUUAUUUUUACAUUAUAAAUGUUUUAUAUUUAAUGGAAAAAUGAUUUUAUGAAAUUGAUUGUUUUUAUUCUUUUUAAAUAAAUCAUUAUUUUCACAUUAUAAAUGUUUCAUAUUUAAUGGAAAAAUAAUUUUAUGAAAUUGGUUGUUUUUCAAAGUUUAUGGUUUAAUUAAAAGAAUUUUGAAAACUUUGAAAUAAAUGCUUGAAAUUUUGGAGGACUUAUUUGAAAAGUGUCAUAGCAUUUUUAGCUAUAUCAUAAUUUCAGAAAGUUUUGGGAUUAGCAAAGCAUUACUUAUAAAUUCUAAAAUUGGACCUAUUUAAAAAGUUUUAUAACUUUUUGGGCCGUAAUAUAGUUUUGUAAAGUUUUGGGGUCAAACUGUAAUUUCAGAAAAUAAUGCACUAUGCAGGUUACUGUAGCAUCCGGCUUACCGGAUAUAAAAAACUAGAAAACCGGAUACGGGGCAGUAAGCAUCCGGAACGCAAACGGCUUAUCGGAUUUCGUAACCGGCAAGCCGGUUAGGCAAAAUUCAAAUUUUUGCCUUAGUGGUAACAUAAAUCCAGCUUACCGGAUUCCUUAAACGGCAAACCAGAUACGCUCAGAAUGUGUAUAAUGGGUAGUUUUUGAGUUCAAACUAUAUAAACUCAAAAUCAAUUCAUUUUUGGUAAUACAAGAAAGCAAGAACAAGUGCACACAACAUAUAUUGAGCUUCAAUUUCGUGAAUCAUCAUUCAUUAAAUCAUCUUUGUUCUUAAAUUUGUAUAUCCACUCUUAAAGAGAGUUUGAUUGUUGUAUUUUUCAUUUCUCAUUAAAUUGUGAGAGUACAAGUGUGAGAAACACUUGGAGUGAAGAGAUUGGAGAGAUAAUCUCUUGUUGUAGAGGUUCAUUGACACCUUAAAGUCAAUUGUAAACAUUUGAAGCCUUGGAAAGGCUUGGAUAGUGAAAUCCUCAAGCCCGGUGUGGUUGGAGGCGUGGACGUAGGCGGGGAUUGCCGAACCACGUAAAAAUCCUUGAGUUUGCUUUCUCUUCCCUUACUCAUUUAUUAUUGUGCUUUCAUUGAAUUUAUUGUUUUCGAAUUUAUUAAGGCAUUAGAUUGGAUUUGUGUGGUUUGCUUUACUUAAUUUUUAAAAUUCUAAUUCACCCCCCUUCUUGGAUUGCCUAGUUAGUAUUUCACAUAUCCAUGCAAGUGUAUCCAACAACUGGAUGCAACUAUGGUAAGGUACCACAGUUGCACCGUAGCCGGACCCUAGAAAUUAAGAUAUUAUCUCUCUACAUAUUUUUGCACGAAAUAAUAUGCAAAUAUAAUAUUUUAGUUUAUUAUUAAUAGUUUUACAAUAAUAAAAAUCAUUUUGAUAGACUGGAAAAUGUCGUAUUCGCACUUUAUUUUGUACGAACGUCUGCGAGAAAGAAUAUAUCUAUAUAUAUAUAUUGGAACAUGUAUUUAAGAUUUAGCUAGUGUGAAGUUGGGAAAGUUUUUUUUUUUUUUAACCCAGGCUAAAAAUAUUUCAAUAAAUUUUGAUCAUGGAGACUAAUAAGAUUUUUUUGGUUAUAUUUAUUAAUUUUUUAGGGACUGACAUGAAUAUUAAUAUUUUUAUUGAGAUUAUUAAAAAAAUGUGCUAUUUUACAUCUAUGACUUUUCCAAUCUUUUUUUCUUUCGUUAUUUAUUCCUUUGUGAAUUUUAGUUAAUGCUUGAUAUUAUUUGUUUGCUCAUUUUUUAAAGCAGUAAUUAAAUCUGAACCCUUACAGUAGAAGAUUAUGAAAAAGUAAAGACACAAAAAUCAUAAAAAUCAUUGUAGGUCCAAAUUUGUGCUAUUUUCAUACAUAAUUUGAGAAUAUUUAUAAUUACGCAUCACAACUAGUGGAGUAGAAUCAGGGAAAUUAAACAUUCUACAAUCAUUGACGUGUGGGUUGGGGAUAAGCAUAAACCUUUUCUAUGCAGUAUAAAAGAAUGCAAUAACUCCUUUUCUUUCAGCAUUUUCGCAACAAAAGCACAUCUAAUAACUCUUCAGAAUUCUCGUCUUCUUUGUCAGAAUGGUUGAUGCGAUCGUUUCCUCUCUCCUGGUGCAGCUGAGCUCUGUUGCGGCUGAUGAAGUGAAACAACAGGUGAGGCUUGUGACUGGUGUCGAGGAAGAAGUGAAAAAGCUCACCCGCAAUCUUCGAGCCAUUCGAGCUGUGCUGGAAGAUGCAGAGAAAAGGCAAAUGCAGCGCGACAAUGCUGUUACUUUUUGGCUGGAUCAGCUCAAAGACGCAUCUUAUGACAUGGAAGACGUGUUGGAGGAGUGGACCACUGCAAGGCUCAAAUUGCAGAUUGAGGGCGUUGAUGAUGACAAUGCUCUUGCUCUUGCUCCUUAUAAGAAGAAGGUACGUUCCUUCUUUUGUGCUCUAUCAAACUGCUUUGGUAGUUUCAAAAAACUCAGUCUUCGUCAUGACAUUGCCGUCAAGAUUAGGGAAAUCAAUGGAAAGCUAGAUGAUAUUGCCUCCCAAAAAGAUAGGUUUAAAUUUGUUGAGAAUGUGAGCAACAAUGUUAAGAAACCAGAGCGAGUGCGAGCCAUCCCCUUGAUUGAUGAGAGAGAGGUUUGUGGUAGAGUUGAUGAGAAAAAUGAUCUCUUAAGCAAGCUGCUGUGUGAAAGUAGUGAACAACAAGAAGGCCUUCAUGUCAUCUCACUAGUUGGGUUAGGGGGUAUAGGUAAAACCACUCUAGCACAACUGGCCUAUAAUAAUGAUGAGGUGAAAAGAAAUUUUGAAAAAGUUAUAUGGGUGUGUGUAUCAGACACUUUUGAGGAGAUUAGGGUCGCCAAAGCAAUCAUUGAAGGUCUAGGCGUGUCAGCUUCUGGUUUAAGUGAAUUCGAAUCUCUUAUGAAACAGAUUCAGGAAUAUAUUACGGGGAAGAAAUUUUUUCUUGUUUUAGAUGAUGUGUGGGAUGGAGAUUACAAAAAAUGGGACCCAUUCUUUUCUUGUCUAAAGAAUGGCCACCAUGAAAGUAAAAUUCUAAUUACCACACGUGAUAGGUCAGUUGCACUACAGUUGGGAUCAAUAGAUAUUAUCCCUGUCAAGGAGUUGGGAGAAGGGGAAUGUUGGUUACUGUUUAAGCAGAUGGCAUUUCUACGUAGGUCCUUUGAGGAUCGUGAAAAAUUAGAACCAAUCGGGCGAAAAAUUGCACACAAGUGCAAAGGCUUGCCUCUUGCUGCAAAGGUAAUAGGGAAUCUUUUGCGCUCUAAAAGUACAGUAAAAGAGUGGCAAAGAAUUUUAGAGAGUGAAAUGUGGAAAGUAGAAGCAAUUGGGCAAGGUCUUUUAGCUCCUUUGUUGUUGAGUUAUAAUGAUUUGCCCUCCAAUUCUAUGGUAAAACAAUGUUUCUCAUAUUGUGCUGUCUUUCCAAAAAACUACAAUAUGAAUAAAGAGGAACUAAUUUCACUAUGGAUGGCUCAAGGUUAUCUUAAUACAGAAGAAGACGAAGAGAUGGAGAUGAUUGGGGAAGAGUAUUUCAACAUUUUAGCAGCACGCUCUUUCUUUCAAGAGUUUAAAAAAGAUGAUGAUGAUGAUAUUAUGAGCUGCAAGAUGCAUGACAUAGUACAUGAUUUUGCCCAAUUUGUAAGUAGAAAAGAAUGUUUGUGGGUAGAAAUUAAUGGUACCAAAGACUCAGUCAUAAACUCUUUUGGUGACAAAGUCCGUCACUUAGGGUUAAAUUUUCAAAGAGGCAUUUCAUUUCCUAUGUCCAUUCGUGGACUUAAUAGAUUGCGUACCCUUUUAAUUUAUGAUAGAAGUGAUUUCAAUCUGUCUCUUAGUAGCAUCCUUUUGUCUUUUAGUAGUAGCAAAGAAUGUUUAAGGGCAUUAGUUAUAAGGCUGUUGCGCCUAUGUUUUUGUCCAAACACAUAUAAGAUUAGAGAAACUCGAAAGUUAUUUAGUAAAUUGGCCUGUUUGAGGGCAUUAGUUAUAAGGGAAUCAUUAGUUAUAAGGCUUUCAUCCACGCCUGUUCGUCUUCACUCAAGUUUGAUUAGAGAAAUUCCAAAAAAUGUCGGAAAAUUGAUACAUUUAAGAUAUCUUAAUUUGUCUGAAUUAGGCAUAGAGAGACUACCUAAGACUUUGUGUGAAUUAUAUAAUUUACAAAAGCUAGAUAUUAGGCGGUGCCGAAAUCUUAAAGAAUUGCCAGCGGGGAUUGGGAAGUUAAAGAACAUGAGGAGUUUACUGAAUGGUGAAACUGAUUCGUUGAAAUACAUGCCAGUAGGGAUUUCCAAAUUAACCAGUCUUCGAACAUUAGACAAGUUUGUGGUGGGUGGAGGUGUUGAUGGUAGCAAUACGUGUAGGCUUGAAUCUCUGAAAAAUCUUCAACUCCUUCGAGAAUGUGGAAUAGAAGGGCUGGGUAAUGUGUUAUAUUUAGAUGAGGUCGAGAGAUUACAACUUUACAAUCAGCAAAACCUCCUUCGUUUGCGUCUUGAGUUUGGUAGAGUCGUAGAUGGGGAAGAUGAAGAAAGGAGGAGGAAGAAAGAGAAAGAUGAACAACUUCUUAAAGCCUUACAACUGCCUUUGAGUGUAGAGAAAUUAGGGAUUAUAUUAUAUGGAGGCAACAUUUUUCCCAAAUGGUUGACUUCACUGACCAAUCUAAGGAAUUUAUAUCUUCGCUCGUGCGUUAAGUGUGAGCAUUUGCCUCCUUUGGGAAAAUUGCCUCUGGAAAAACUCGUAAUCAUCCACUUGAAAAGUGUAAAAAGAGUGGGUAACGAGGUUUUGGGAAUAGAAGAAAGCAGUGAGGAUGGCCCGUCUUCAUCUUCAUCACCACCAUCAGUUAUUGCCUUCCCCAAAUUGAAAUCACUCAUAAUUGGGGCAAUGGAAGAAUUGGAAGAGUGGAAUUACAGGAUUACGAGGAGGGAAAACAUCUCUAUCAUGCCACGUCUUUCUUCCUUGGAAGUUCGUUCUUGCAACAAAUUGAAGGCGCUGCCGGAUUACCUUCUUCGAACGUCGACGCUGCAGGAAUUGACUAUUGACAAAUGUCCUCUUCUGGAAAACCGUUAUAGAGAGGGGAAAGGAGAAGACUGGCAUAAGAUAUCUCGCAUUCCCCACAUCAAGUGGUCGCGGUAAUUUAUCACUCGCCGGUAAUUUCUCCUGCUCCUCUGAUUUACUUCGUUGUUGCUUGCAAUGAAAUUAAUAAAAAUAAUUAUAUUUUGAAUUAAAAUUCUAUAUAGAAUCAAUCAUGGUAUAAAUACGUAAAACUUCCUAGUUAUCAAAUCUGUUAAACUUGUUUUCUAAAGAUUAAAUAAAAAAAAAAUACAAGUGUAGUCUGUUUAAAUUUCUAUAUUUAUUUGUUUUUAAAAAAUAUGUGCUCUUUUGUAAAAUUUCAUGCAAUGUAAUUUAUUUUUUAAUGUACGAAAAUUUGUUAUGUGUAACAAAAUCUCUGUGAUACGUUUGCAGUAAUGUUGAAAACUAAAUUAUCAAUUUUAUCUUAUAUAAUGAUAAUCGUAUUUUUUUAUAUAUAAUAUACGUGACAUUAAUUCUUUAAAGUAAUUGUGUAAUUGUUUUUAGUAGUACAUUAGCCCACUUUGUUUUAUUUCAUACUUGUUUAAUUAUGUUCACCAGGGAUUCGAGGAAAUGUCAGAACUACACUAGCAAUUCACAGGUCCAAUCUAAUUUGGUUUUAAUGAUGCGGGCAGGAGAGCAAGACUAUGAAAAUGAGAAGUUUAGCCAAAGGAUUGCUAAAAUGUUCUGCUGGUAAUUCACUUGCUUUAUUUUAUAGAAUUUCAUUUCCAUCUUCUUCUAUUGAUAUCUUGUUGUAAUAAACAAGAACAGAGAAGUAAAUAUAUAUAUCAAAAUUUACUAUUACGAUGAUGCUAAAGCAAGCUCAAGCUCAAGCACUGCAUUUUUAUUUUAUUUAAUUUAUAGAAUUUUCAUUUCCACCUGCAUUGCAUUUUUAGGUUGACUUUGAAGACUCUAUGGAGAAAAUUGGGGUAACCAAGGAUUAUCACUGUGGUUAUUGUGCAACGUUUGGUUGCUGGACUUUGAAGAAGGAAGUGAUGGCCGGGUCUGCUCUGUUUCAAUUGAGGAUGGAUAGCUGCCUGAAAGACAUGAUGAUUAUUAUCAUUGCAUGAUGUUAAGGUGCUAAGAUCAUCAUUUCGAUCUUGUUUCAUUCUUGGAAUCAUUUAUCCUGUAUAAACAUUUGUUUUAACAAAUGUUUCAAUGCCUGCUGUAGUAACAAUUUCAUCUCUUGCAUCUCUCGGGUGCAUCAUGAUCACGGGUUUGAGAAAGCAUUUGUGGUAAAGCUUCAAAGCUUGUACAAUGGCUGUGAAAAGGCACAUUCAAUUCGGUACGUUUGGUGCGGUCUCCUAAUGCUACUACCAUAUUUUGUAUAGCAAUUAAAAUUCAGGUAUACAAUCUUAAUAUGCAAUAAAUCAUUGAGUACAAAGUUAUCUAUUAAUUAUAUGGUAACUGAAAUUUUCAUUAUAAUUUUAAUUAUCAUAUUAAUAUUAAAGUUUUUUGUAACCCUCUUUUACUUUGCUUGUACAGAGUAUCUGUUUUGGCUGAUAUGUCUAAUUCGUAGCAAUUCAUUUCCAUCGGUUUCCAUUGGUUUUAGCACAAACAGAAACAAAAAUCUGGGGAAAAAGUUUUACUUCUUCUGGUAUUAUGCCUUUAUUUAUUCAUUCAUCAUAUUUGUUCGAAUUCAUGCUCUCAUUCAGAGAGCAGCCUUUUCCAGGCUACUUUGUAGCCAAAUUUUCAUGCCAUCGAUGCAUGAUUGUCAUUUAGAUUUUCCAAAUAAUUGUUAGAUUGAAGAAGAAUAAGAAGAUAUUGUUAAAAGGGUAUUUAAUUAGCACCCUCUGAAUUUAGUUGCCAAUAAUGCAUUGAAAUGGUUGGGGAAAGUUAUUGUCUCAAUUAAAUUACAGGUGACAAGAUGCUGCUCCAAUUUUGCAAGCAUCUCGUGUUUCGAGAUUUUGCCCACAUGAGAUGCUAUGAUUUUUGACAUCAGGGUAACAAAGGUCAAAUUUUAGCAUCAAUAGAUAUCAUCUUCUUUACUGUUCUGCUCGAAAUAUUAAACUUUAGGCAAGUUGUUUUUGUUUGUGUGAGUUAUCAGGUUAAGGAUACUAAGCAGCUUAUUAAGGCAAAUGUCAGAAUGAAGAUUUUUCACCGCACCUGGUAUGAAUGAUGGCGAGGAAGAUUAAUUGUUCACAAGCCAAUUUGAUCAGUGUUAGAUUCUUUUGCCUCCCUUCAAGAGAUAUCAUCAUCAAAUUUGAGAAGAGACUUUUGUUUUGACAUUUCACUGUAGUGAAUUUUGGGAGCUUGAACCCACUUGAGUGAAAUAUUAGGGAAUACUGGGGAUAUGGGUUAUGAGUGAUCGUUAUCCUUCAAAUAUUUGUAAGCUCUCACUUGUUAGUAAAAUCAUCUUCGUAUAUUGACUUUGUUUCUUUGUUGUCAGGCCGAGUGUGAUCUUCAAGGUUUGAGAAAGUCUUCGCAGUAAAAUUUCCACCACGUGCAAUUGCUGUGAAGGGGCAUAUACAUUUGAGUAAUUCAGUUUCAGAUUUUCAAGGCGCGUUUGUUUAAUUAGUUUCGAUUAUAAUAUUUAGUCACUCAUUCUGAAUCUUUUCUAAUUUUCAAGUUCUUUAGGGCCGCCAACAGUUUUUCAAGUCUACAUGUGGCUGCAAAAAGAUUGAUGGUCAUCAAAUUAUCUUGAGCCUUGAGGCAUUGCGUUCGAGCACAAAAGGAAACAGAACUAAGGGAAAUGAAGACAGUAGGAGAUGCUCUGAAUAUAACAAAAGUAUAUUUCUACUUCUUGUGGUUAUUUUAAUUUUGUUUAUCCUGUCAUCAUAUUUAAUUAAUUCGUUUGAAUUCACACUCUCACACAUUAUUUAAAACCAUCUGCAGGUGGUUUGCAAGCUAGCUAAGUUAAUGCAAAAACAAUACUCUAGACAAAGAUGAGCAAAUUGAAGGCGACAAAUGCAAAUUGGAUUUCAAUGAAUAAUUGUUAGGCUGGUGGAGAUAUUCUUAAAAGGGCAUUAAGCUAUCUUAUGGAAUUGGAAAGUUAUUAUUGCUUGAAAGCAAGCAGCAUCUUCGUUGCGAAGGCUUUCCCCACCUGAUAAAAUGCUGAGAUUGUUACCGGCCCCUUAAUUAUUUAUUAACUCAGGUAUUUAUUAUCAAUACAUCAUCUUAUUCACCAUUUUGGCUAUAUAUAAAGAUUAAAAUUUCUAACAGUUGUUUCGGAUUCUUGUGUACUCAGGUUAAUAGGGCAAAUAUCAGAAUGAAGAUUGCUCAGUGCAACCGAUAGAGCAAGGAUGAUAGUUGUGAGAAAGAUUGUUGGCAAGACAAAUAGAGCCCUCCAUUUGGAGAAAUAUCAUCCUCAAAUUUGAAUUGUCGAGCAUGUGAGGUGAAUCUAAAGCCUUAAUAAUGAGACCUUCCUGUGGAAGUUUCAUUUGAAUGAAUUGAACGUUCUUACUGAGUGAGAAAUUAAGUAUAUAUCAUCGAUUUUGGUCGUCUGUGAAUGUUUUCCUUCAAUAUUAAUACACUAGCAUUUCUUAGUAAAUUCACUUCACGUCACUUCCUCCUUGUUGGUGGGACUAGUAAACAAAUGUCAUUUCUUAGUACAUUUUGAGAAUUUUGAUUCCCAAAUAAGCCUGCAGAACGGUGUAUGGUGGGAUUAGCUGCAGGAUUCUUUGCCAAAAUUCCUUUUUAUUCCUUUGUUCACUUAUUCGUUAUAAAUAAAGUAAAAUUAGAAUAUUGUUCCGUUUACUGUCUAAGCUGGUCUAACAUUUGUUUAAUUUGGGCAAUUUUUAAUGCCUAACAGGUUAUCUGUGACAAACCCAUCGGUGAGUGUAUGCAACUAUUGGAUGGAUUUGAUAGAGCGGUCACCAACAAUUUUGAAGUUAUUGGAGUAGCAUGGCUUGGAGGUCUCUCCCUCCCUCUUUUACGUAUUUGUCUAUUGAUUGACAUGUCUAUAUAUACAUUGAUAGACCAACCUACUCUGGUUUUAAUGUUUUGUUUGUUAAACUUUGACUGGGGAAUGUUUAUUUGUCUCAUAUGAUGUCAAUGUGGUUCCUAUUGAAGUGUAUAGAUCUGUCACCUCAAAGUCUGAUUUCAAUUUUCCUUUACUUCAUCAACUAGCAUCGUUUCCAAGUCCAGAUACUUACCAAUAGUGAGACUUUUCUACGGAAGUACAAUUUCUCUUGUUUUACAGUUAAUUAUGUAAGAAAAGUUUUACAUUUACAGAAUUCUGGUAUAGCUCUCUUAAGGAAAUGCGAGUGGUGAAUAUGGUUCCAACUUUUAAUAGGCUUAAUAGGCCCAUUUGUUAAGCCACAGUGAUUGCGGUCUAAAUUCUUCUUUACUGUCUAUAUGUGUUGGAGUUUGUCUAUUGUCCAACUUCUCAAAUCGAUUCCAUGCAGGGUUUUGAAUGUCUAAUUAGGAGAAAGAUUAACGGAUGACCUUUUGAAGAAGGCUUACACAACAGGCCAUCUCAGGAUGUCAUGGCUCAGCUCAAAAGUCCCCAGGUGGUUGAUAUCAAAGAAUGCCAUUGUUUCUGGGCUUGGUCUCCUUGGCAUCAAACAAGAUAAUGUUGACUCUAUUAAAGGGGAAAUAAGGGCGACUAAAGCGCGAAGAAAGAGGAUAGUCCGGAGGAAGGUGACUGCAUAAAUUUGUUGGAGUUAAUGUAGUCAAUUGCCCAAUUUUGCUGCCUGUCGAAGAGACACAUCAUGGAAGUCCUCAUCAAACUCUGAGACACCUAAGAAAUAGUAUGAGGUGGUGGUAUUCCCCUGGUGUUAAUUUCCUGGCAAGUGUGGUUCACAGAUAGAGGGAUUCUUUUCUUGAUGUCUAAAUACCGUAUGUGAUACAACGUCGUAUAUUCUAAUUUUCCUUGAGUUAAAUUCUAGUCAGUUAGGAAAGUUAAUUUUGUUUUCGCUAUGGAUUGUUUCCUAGAUAAUAAUAGUUUCCAUGUUUCUUUGGGGUCUUAUUAACUCUCUGUAACCCAGUUCAAGUUUGCAAAUUCUAUUUCAGAUUUCUCAUAUAGUGUGCCUUUGUCACUUCUGUGAUACACUUUUGAUCACAAGUUUCCAUUUGAAGUAACCAAUAUUCUUUAUAGACUAAUUAUCUAAGGAUUAUUUUAUACAAAAAAAUCAAAACUUUAAUUAAUUGAUCAUACUUAACUUGGCUUUUGUUUGAUAUUACUAGCUGUUGUGAGAACCAAAAAAAUAGCAGAAAGUUGACAAUGUGCAGUAAAUGUAUGACUUUUAAAUAAUAAUUUAAUAAAAUUAAUAAAGAUAUUAUAAAUUUUUUAAUAAUAAAGUAUGAGAUCAAAUCAAAUUAAUUUUUAAGUCAAAAUUGUUUAAUUAUGUAGUUUAAAAGUAUAGUUAUCCAACCUCAACACAAUAGAGAGAUUUCUAUUUACCAAACUCUACCCAACUUUGGUUGUACUGACUCGAUCAUGCAAGUCCAUACUCGACGCGUUGACCAUACAAGAUGUUACUCAACUUUAACAAAUCUUACUCAAACUUUGCACGUUUAGCAUGCCGAAUGGAAUAUGAUAGUAGAUGAUGUGAUAGAUAUUAUAGGAAUAGUCGUAACAAAAUUAUAUUUAGUACUUUUUUAUAUUUUAUGUGAUGAACAGAUGUAGUAUAUGAAUGGAUUAUAUUACAAAUUUUAGUGUUAUCAUAAUUAAAAAAUUGAAUUAUUUUUUAUUAUUGAAAAACUGUAAUAUGUUAAAUAACAGUUAUUUUUAUUAAUUUUUUUUAAUGAAUUAUACUUUUAAAUUGUAAUCGAAAAUUCUUAUUACUGAACUAAUAAAAAAUUAAUUAGCUCAAGAGAUAAAUUCACUUAGUGUAGAACGAAAUGGUGUGUUAUUUUUAUGUGGGAUCCACAUCCUUUCCACAUCAACCUCAACAUCCAAACAUGAAAUUGGACUAAAAAUAGUUCUUUCCCAUGUAUUUACGUAACCUCCUCCCACUAAACGCAAAUAUUUAUUCUUGAUUUUACUAACAUAAUUUUCUCCCAUUUCCAUAUUGUCCGCGUUGAGUGCAUGUAAUCCACAAGUUUAAUUUUUUUUUUUUUUUUAGAGAGGUAUGUUAAAAUGAAUAUAUCACUUUUUUUUCUUUUUUCCUUUUUUUUGUGUGAGUGAUGGCUUCGUUGAAUGACAGUUGGCUGAUAAUAAGUUAUCUUUUAAUUUUGUUUUUGAUUUAAUAGAAAAUAUUAAUUUUUGUAGUUUCGGUAGAUGAAAUUUCGAAUCAAAUAUUAAUAUUGUUAAAGUACGCAACCCAAUAUUUGCUUAAAUUACAAAAAAGAUUAAUUGCUUUGCAUAAAAAAGAAGUGAUCACUUGAUUUAACUUCCUUUACUAAAUUUACGAUUUAAAAUCCAAAAUAAAAAAGAGAGUUUAUUAUUGAUUAUCAUUUUCCCAAAUUUAAGCUAAGACAGUAAUAUGUCCAAAAUACCCUCCACGUUAUCCUAAAACUUUAUGAAUUCCCCCGUUCCUCUCAACAUCAUCUCUUCCAAAUCUUUCUUCCCCAAAAAACCAGCCAUGGCUUCAUAUUUAGUUACCUCAACACUCCAAUAUUGGCUUGUAAACAGCAGCGGUUCAACCUCUAGGCAACUUAGGUGGUUGCAUAGGACUCCGCUUUAUAUGAAAGCCCUACAAGAUGAUUAUUUUGUAUAUAAAAGAGGAAAAUGAAUUUAAAAGUCAUUAUUAUUCAUUUAAUUUAUUAUUAUUUUGUAAUUAUCUUUUUCUAAAUAAACUAUCAAAUUCUUAUCAAGUUUAUUUAAUGUAGUACUUAAUUGUUUUAAUUUCUACAAAACCAAUAAAUUAAUAGUUUCAAUCCUAAAAAUUCUCUAUUUCAUUGUUAGAAUUAAUAAGUUAUAUUUCAAAAGUUUUAUAUUUAUUUUAAACCUCUAUAAAAACCCCACAUUUUAUUACUUAUCCAUUAAAUUUUUCGUUCAACAAUCAAGACAUCUUGGUGUUUGAGAGAAAGAAAGAGAGAGGGAAAAAAAUCUUGCUUCCUCUACUUUCUACUCUAGAAGAAAAAGAAAAAAUCAAAUAGUUUUCUCUAUUUUCUAUGACUAUUGGUUGCUACUCAAAUUUUCAAACAACAGCCUUAAUAUAAACAUAAGUUAAUUUAUGAUUUCAUCUCAAAUUUCUGAUUUUAUCUUUUUAUUAUUCUCUUAAUUAAUUGUGUUGUUAUUUGUUCUUAUUUCUUUUUAUAUAUUCUUUUCUUCAUCUACUUUUUUUGUGCUUGUUUUAUCUAUUUUGAAAUAAAACUAUAUCAAAAAAUUUUAGACAAUAGGAGAAUAAAAAAAUUAGAUUAAUUUAAAAAAAUAGUAAAAAAGAUAUAAUUUAACUUAAAAAAAAGUGAAAAUGUUAUAAUUGAAUUAAAAUUUUAUGACUUAACAACAAUAGAAUAAAUUUGUAUUUAAUAAUUUUAUAUUUUAAAGUAUUUAAAGAAUUAAUUUUUAAUAAAUAAUAUUAAUAUAUAUAUAUAUAUAUAAGUUACUUAUCUCUCCAUCCGCACUUAUCUCUCCCUCACAUUCAUCCUCAACCACACAUCAACAUCAACAUCAACAUCACCUCUCAUUGGACCCCACAUCCUCAAGCCCAUCACAGCCGUCCAUAACCUCACCCUCCUCCUCCUCUCCCUCAUCAUGGCCGUUGUUUGCCCUCUCUCCAUCAUCCUCCAUUUACCGCACCUCCGUUACACCCUCUGUUUCCUCCUUACCAUUUCUCCGUCUGGCACGGCCUAAUUCCGACGGAAUCAACGACGGUCGUGAUGGGUUUUGGCUGCGACUAUUCGCGCUUCAAACGGCGGCGUUUCGGUUGGUUUUUGGCGACAGUGACGGUGGGAAAGUGAUGGCUGGCUCAGGAGCUUUCUUUGCUACCAUCCAUGGCCGGUGAGGUGGCCGAAAAUCGGAUAUAUGUCUGCGUCGGGUUCGCAGUUUUGGGUCGGGUUUUCCGGGUCAGUUUGACAGCUUCCUCUAUCCCUCUCCCCCAUAAAACAUUACCCAGCUUCCUCUUAUUAUUAUUUUUUUUUUCACAUACGUUACAGAACAUUAAUGAGAGAUGUUUAGUAGUAAGGACUAUUUUGAUAUUUCGAUGAGUAGUAAAAACUAAUGUUAAAAUUUUAUAGACGAAUGUAUAGUAAGAUGCUCAAAGUACUAGAACAUAUAUAAAUAAUCCCAGCUCUUAUAAAAUUUUGCCACAUAAUGAGUUUUAUCCCUUAAGCAAAACAUAUCGAUAAAGUAUACAAAAGCACAAUGCAUGAAUGAUGGUCUUACAAAGUUCGAAUAUAAAGUUUAAGAUACAGAAUAUGAUUUAUUUCCUUUUAGUUUAGUUUUUUUUUUUUUUUUUGGUUUCUUUUGAAAGGAGACCAACUAGAUCAUGCAAGAAGUUAAUUUUUUUCUAAAAUAAAAAGGGAGAAAUGAUGGUCUUACAAAGUUCGAAUAUAAAGUUUAUAAUCUAAAAUUAAUGAUGUGACAAUUAACCUAAUGGAGUAAGAAGUCCCAAAUAGAUUAUAUUUUGCUAAAGAAGUCAAUUCUACCAAGAAUACCUCUUUCUAUUGAAUUUAAAUGAUGAUUAUUUGUUUAUAUCAUAAAAGCUAAAAUAAUUGUGUGAGUAAUUUGAUUCUUUUACAGUAUAAAAAUAAAUUCAGAAAAUGUUAGGGAAAGGUCUUACACUAUAAAUGACCAAUAGAAGAAUAGAAAAGAAUUUUAGAUAGUGGAAUGUGGAAGGUAGAAGAGUUUGGGAAAGGUCUUUUGGCUACUUUGUUGUUAAGUUAUAAUGAUUUGUCAUCCAUAAUAAAACAAUAUUUCUCACAUUGUUCUAUCUUUUCAAAAGGUUACAAUAUGUGUAAAGAGAAACUAAUUACACUAUGGAUGGCUCAAAGUUACCUUUAAAUGUAGAAAAAGGCAAAGAGAUGGAGAUCCGAUCCAAUAUGAUAAUAGUAGUUUAUUUUAAUUUUUAUUAAUUUGAUUUCAUAGGAGUAGUUUUCAUUUUUUGUUGAAAAUUGGUAAAAAAAAACUAAAAUGAGAUAAUUACUUUAAAACAAUCUUCAAGAACUAAAAUAAUUAAAAAAACUCAAAAUAAACAAAAAGGCUUAAAAAUAACCCUAAUCCGAAAAUUGUUUGAAUCCAUCCUAACUGGCCCGAAUAUGAUUUUAACCCAAACCCAAUCUAACUCGCUUAUAAUUAUAACCUAAUGCGAUCCAAAUUCAACUUGAAUUUUUGAUCCGAUCUAAUCCAAUUUGAAUAUUCUAACCCUAUCAACCAGAAACCCAAUUAGGUUGAUCUGAACCUACAUUUGUCCACUCCUAGAGGGGAUCAUGACCCUACAAACUUUGAAAGUUUUUUGAGAUUUCUAAGUGAAUAUUAAAAAUUAUGUAUAAAAAGACUGAUUUGACCCCUAAACACUUGAUAUAGAAACUUUAUACAUAUAAUAGAAAUUAAUUUUAUAUUUUGUGAAAUAAAAUCAAAGUAACUGAAUUUUUUAAUUUUUAUUUUGUUAAUUAUUUUUCUACUAUGACAAAAUGACUAAUAGCCUGGUGCCUAGCUCUUUGACUUUUAUUUUGCUAAUUAUUUUUUUUCAUUUCUCUUGCAACAGUAAAUUCAAUUAUCAAUCAAAGUCGCCAAAUCAAAAUCUCUGCAGCCUGCAGCUACAAGCAAACUUCUCAAAUUUCGAAAUUCCUUAUGACUACAUAAUAGCUAUAAAUAGAAAAAGCGUCUAAAAUAACUAUGUUUUCCUAAGUUUGAGCUUGAGCCCCCUGAAGAUUUACUCCAUAUGUAACAAAAUAUUAGUUUUGCUAGUAAAAUUGCUAACUAUGUUUUUCUUUGUAUUUCCGCUCAAGGAUGAAGAAAUUUCCCUAGACUUUUGUGGUGAAUAUCUUACGAACAUAUGACAAUUUAAUCUUUGGCUGAGACUUGUUUAACAUAAGAGAUGACACUUUGAAGCAAUAGGAGAGAGAGCUGAUAAGCUUUGUUCCUAAAAAAAAAACUAUUACUUCUUUCUUUGAACAUAUGCGCAUUCUCUCUAAUUGUUGCAAUGGAGGAAUUUCCCAUCUAAAGAACACUUCAAUCAUCCAUUGCUUUGUAAGAUGUGAAAAGGCUACGAUUCUUGUACACAUACUUGAUUGCACCGGAAUCUAUUCACUAUGCAUUAUCAUGUUUGAGAAUAUUAAUCUCAGAUAUCAUGACCAUAAAUUUUGUCCACAAAAUUUGUGUUCAAACACUUCUUUUCUUUCUUAAGAAGUUGACAGUCUUUUUUAAAGUGGCUUGGCUUUUCACAUUGGCCACAUGUACACUUCUUUUUUUUAUUCUGUUGGUUUGAUUCUAUUUGGAAUCAAACUUUUGCUUUUGGUUAUUAAUGCGGUCAUUAGACUGCUUAAGCUCCUUCUCCUCCUCCACAACAUUAAUUUUAGAGGACAUAGCAGGCUGUUCCUCAAGACUAUUAAGUCUAAGUUUCUAUUCAAUAUGAAGACUUUGCCAUGCCUUCCAAGCUAAUUUCCUCUUUGCUAUAUUUAAGACUUUUUUCAUAGUCUUUUCAAGAGGGGGGAAGUUUAUCAAUAAUUGAAGAAGUGGUGCAGUCAAUUAAAUGAGCGAACUCGAGAAUCAUAAGAGUACAUACAAUAGUGGCUACAAUAAUUAGGCCUGCUUCCUCUCUCACCAGAACAGAACUGACGGCCCGAUCCGAUACCGCCAAAUACAUGACACAACUUAAAAGUAAAUUUUAACUCCCAAGUAUAAGAGUGUCUUGUUGUAUUAUAACUCGGUGAGUCCGAGGUCGAUCCACAGAGAAAAGAUUUAAUUAGUUUAUUUUAUUUUAUCUAAAAAUUGAAAUUAAAACUUGAAUAUAAACAACUUAAUUUAAAUGAAACUAUGGAAUUGAACUAGUUAGGGUUAUGGAUCCACUCUUAGAAAUAAAUAAAACUUAAUAAAUUCUUUUUGCCAAUUUGUUUUAGAUUUAUUACUCAAAAGAUUAAUUAUACAAAUUAUUAUUAUUUUCCCUUUAAUUUUAUGAUGGAUUAAGUAUUUAUUGUGCCAAAAUUUAAUUUGUCUACAAUAAGUCAAAAUACCAUUUCACCAUGCCUUAUAUUAAGAUCUUAAGAAUUUAUUGUGCCAAAUUCAUUUGUUUGUCUACAAUAAAUCAAAUUUUCAAAAUAUAAAACAUGUAUAAAAUUAAAUAGAAAAUAAUUUAAUUUAUAAAAUUAAACAUAGAAUUUGAUUAAAUCAUAUUUAUUUCUUAAGAGUUUCACCUUCCCCUAACUAAUAUUAUUUAGUUAAGCAUAAUUAAAAUAAAAAGAAGUAGUAAAAUUGAAUUACUUAUAAUUAAAAGAAAUAAAAACAACUAAAAUUGGAAAUAAAACUAAUUUUAUUAAUGAAAAUAAUUAUACAAAAUAUUAAAAACACACCUGGAAAUCAAGAUUAUAAGGAGAUGGAGAGAAUUUGAGAAGAAGAGAGUUGUAGAGAGAUGAUUAAAACAUAAAAAUGAGGCUCUAUUUAUAGAAAAAUAAAUUCAUAAUCCAGUGCUUUGCGGUCCAUCAUAGGCUUCAUGCAUGUGCUCCUCACAACCCUUAGAUCAAGAUCCAAUGGCUGGUCAAACUUCAAAAGUCAACAUCACACAUGGCAUCAUUUGACUCGUCCGAUUUACCCAAAGAACGGUUGAGAUUUGGCGGGUUAAUGGAUGGAUCGGGUCGACCCGAAUACAAAGAUUCGGAUCCUCCAACUUGCUUCACCAACCAUUGCCACGUGGCACAAUCAUGGCCAUUGAAUCAUGAACGGUUGAGAUUUAGUCAAGAUUGCCAAUUAUCCCAUGCACUCAUAUCUAUUGUAAGCUCAUUUCAUCAUCCAAUCAGUGCUCGGUCAACAGGAAAAGUCAACUUUUUUUACACAAGCCCAAUUUUAAGCCGAUCUUGACUGAUCUUAAGGUUUUCGGACCUCCGGAAUCCAAAUUUGACCUCUGUUUAUCUGUUUGGAGCCUCGAAAUACGUGAAAUUAAUAUUUUUCCUAAUAAACACAUAAAAAUACACAAAAUUAAAUAUAUUUAAAACAUAAUUAAUAAUUCAUAAUAUAUUACAUAAACGCAAAUAUAAAUUAUAACAUAAGCAUAAAAUAACAUAUUAUCGCUUGAUAAUUAAACAAUUUUUAAUACUAAUCACACCCCCCAACCAGCUUAUUGCUAGCCCUCUAGCAAUUAAAGCGUUAUAUUAAGAUUUAUAAAAUUCACAUGCAAGUUAAUAGUUGUUCAUCUAUCCUCUAAAUUACCAAAUAAAUGAACUCUCCCAAAUUCCUUUACCACAUUGAUGUUCACUCAUUAUCCAGAAUAUCAUCAAACCUUCUUUUGUGCUCAAGUAAUUAACACAAUACUUAUGGGGCUUCAUUAAAAGAAAAACAACAUUUUCGUUCUAAAAUUCAUUAGAAAUUAUAUCUUUAGGCAAUAGAUUAUUCACACAUUUUUUUUUUAUAUUACAUUUCUAACCCGUGUAGCGAGCUUUAGGUCAAUGACUCCCAGACCAGUUGGCCUUAGGGCACUAGGUGUUGAAGCACCCCUACGGACUUAAUUACUCGGGUUUCUAAUAAACAAACAAUAUAUCUAUUACCCAUGUAGCGAGCUUUAUGCCAGUGACUCCCAGACCAGUUGACCUUAGGGCACUAGGUGUUGAAACACCCCUACGGACUUAAUUACUCGGGUUUCUAGAUAUAACAAAAUUAAAAACAUUUUUUCUUCUUCUUUUUUUUUGAUUUUUUUUUUUUUUUGGUUUUUUUGUUUUUGGAAAUAUACACUUUCUACUACCUUAGAUACUAUUCCUAAUAAAUCAAAAGAACUAAAUGCUGUAAAACUUUAACUUACAACCCACUAGUAUGUGUCAUAGUGUGUGUGUGAAGAAUGAUUCAAUAAUACCUGUUAAAUGAGUAAACAAUUAAAUAACUUAAUAACCAAGUGGAGAGUUCACAAAUUUGAGUAAUUCAAAGAAAAGGGAACAAAAACAACUUACUAUGAAUCUCAAAAUCAAAAUAUAAUACAACAAGACUAUUAGGAUGCGUCUCAAAAGUCGUGACUCUUUACACGGCCAUCCUAGACAAAAAACAAAUUUUUUUUUUUUGGUUUUUUUUUUUUUUUUAACAAAGAAAAGAAAAGAGAAAAGAGAAAAACAACACACAUAUUUAAAACAUACGUCAAUUAUCCCCACCCCACAACCUAAUCUAAACAUUAUCUUAACAUUUUAUAAUUUUACAGAUAUGCAAAAAAAUAAAAAUAAAAGAGAAUAAUAAAAGAAGAAGAAGAAGAGAUCUCACCUGAACUUGAUGCAGAAGCUUAAAAGCAAAUAACAAAGAUGAAGAAAGAGUCAAUUUUUUUUUUAACAACACCCUUAAGAUUAAGAAGAUGCGUUUCUAGAGAGACUACAUUCUCUAUAUCCUGCCAUCUUCGACUCAAAUUUGUCCUAAGUUAGUCUUUACAGAAAAAAAAAAUUUUUUUUUUUUGUUUUUUGUUUUUUUUUUUUUUUUGUAAACACAUAACCAGGACUAAGACAUUCCACAAUUAUCAACUAUUCCCUCCCCCCAACCUGAAAAAGACAUUGUCCUCAAUGUUUUAAAAGGAAAGAGAAAGAGUGUAGAAGACAUCACAUGAACACUACAACAGAAAAUAUUUACAAACGGAGAGUUAAAUCUAAAUCGCACUUCUUAUUACUGCUACUGUUACCGUUACCGUCAUUAGUCGACCAAUUCAGUGCAACAGUCUGUGGAUCUGGCUCUGGUGUAUAAGCUUGCAAAAGAUCAAGUAACUCAUUAGCAGUAGAAGCAGAGAUAAAGAGUUUUUUUACAGAAUGUGGAACAAAAUGAUUCUUUAUUGCAUGGUUAAUAAAAGUUAGCAAGCCGUCAUAAAAAUUAUUAACAUUUAACAAACCGAUGGGUUUUUGAUGAAUGUUCAAGUGGGCCCAAGAUGCAAAUGUAAUUAGUGCCUCAAAAGUUGCAAGAUCUCCUGGCAAGAAAAUAAAAGCAUCAGCAUGAUUCAUCAUUUCAGAUAUUCUCUCUUGCAUACUUGAUACCACUAAUUCUUCUCCAAUUGGUGGGCCAGACAUGCACACUAGCGGUUUCAUGGGUUUUGGGAUAAUGCCGAGUACUUGGCUUCCUCUGGUAAAAACAGCUUCUGAGACAAGUCUUGAUAACCCUCGUUCACCUCCUCCAUAUACAAGAUGCAGUUUCCUCUCUGCUAUGACACGACCAAGAUCUACAGCUGCCUGAACGAACUCUUUGUACUUUCCAUAGUGAAACCCAGAAAGCACACAAAUAUUUUUGAAUUGUUUACUCGAAGAUGAUGCCAUUGGACUAAUUUUUCAAAAACAAGUUGUGAGUGUUUGAAAAAUGAGCUCAUAUUUAAAGAUCUUGGUAACAUAAAUAAUGAGAAACAGCUGUAAAUGGGUUGGCAAUAUUUGUCAAAUGACGAGUAAAGCUCGUGGCUCAAUAAUUCAAAAACAAACAGUAAAAAGAAAGUAAUGAUUAGAAAAAGCAAACAGUAAAAGAAAACCAAAUAUUUAUUAAAUACAAAAUCACAUCGCUAAAUGCAAUAAUGCAAAUGAUAAAAUAACAGUAAAAUAAAAUAACAGUGAAGUGAAAGGAUAUUUACUGGUAGUUGUGAUUGUGGCUCACAUCUUCCUCUGGUUUUACGUCCAGUAACGGCUUGAACGCCCUCUAUGGGUCGAGGAUCGGCUUCCCAUCCAGUUUUCUUAUAAACUGGCAAACAGGGUCUUUUUGAGUCAGAUUCCCAAGACUUAACUGUGCACUUUGUUUUUGGAAUAGUAUCCACAAAUUGUAAAUCUCACGUUGCACAAUUCCGCUUCGAUGCGUCUCAAGAGAUCGUAAGAUAUCAUCCAACGAUUCUUUACUCAUGCCAUCUUUAACGAAUUUAAUUUUAUCUUCACGAGUAUCAGAAACCAUUCCUAAAGAUUUACAAUCUGGUCGUUUGCAACCAAGUCUCACACAGUUAUGACAUUUUGAGCCAAGUCGUUUAGCUCUCCUUUUCUUAGCAAACGUACUUUUACCAAAACCAGGCAUGUAAGAAACAAAUUGACCAGAAAAUUCACCUGCUAAUCGGACCUUUGCUUCAAUUAACCAACGAAUGUCAGAAGGAAUGCCAUUGAUCAUUAACAAACGCAGUCGUUCACAACGAGCUUUGUAAAUUUUCCUGAGGGCAUUCUGAGGGAGAGAGGGAAAAUGCUUAUGGAGUUUAUGUUGUAUUUCUUCCAUGUAUGAUUUUGGGGUUUCAGUUAUUGUGGGAAACUGAAGAUACCGACUUAAAAAGUCACGGAGUACCGUUAUCCGCCAUUUAUACGGGAAAAUAAAUCAAAACACACCAAAAUCAAAUCUGCAAAAUCAAAUCAAGCGUGAAAGCGAGCAAAAAGAAGCACACAAUAUAAAAGGAAAAUGAACUUACAUUCGUCCUCUCAUUGAGUUAACCUCAAGCUCCAUUUGAAAUUCAUAUAUGCCACUCUCUACUGUUCUGAGUUGUCCCUCUAGAUCCUCAACAUAGGACACGAAUUCUGGUGGUUGCAGAUCCCAAAGUGGAUGUGAUUUACAGCUUUGUAUCAGGCCUCUUAAGUGAAAUUUUAUACGCCGAAAUCUUUUAAGAUGUGCGAACAGGUAUUUUCUCAUUGAGGUGCUCAUGAUGUAAAAUGAAAAUUGAUGAGAGAAUGUACAACUGUCAAACAAACACGCUUACACAAGAAAAACAAUGUUAAAAAAAAACUAUGUACAGUGCAUCAAUCUAAGGAAAAAAAAAAGUCAAACAAUGAAACGGUAAAAUAAUAGUAAAACAAAAAAAAAUCAUUAAAAACUUAAUCAAGAACUGGUGGGUCAUCCAAAUUAAUUUCGGUGUCCUCGUCACGUGGGUGAUGUUCCAGAUAUGGUUUUAAUCUUUGACCAUUAACUUUAAAUGUGACACCAUUAUUUGGAUUCUCAAUUUCUAUGGCCCCAUAUGAAUAUACAUUUUUUACAACAAAUGGGCCACUCCAUUUUGACUUUAACUUUCCUGGAAAUAAAUGAAGACGAGAAUUAUAAAGCAACACUUUUUGACCAAUCUCAAAUGUUUUUCGAAAAAUUCUUUUAUCAUGAAAUGCUUUUGUUCUUGCCUUAAUAAUUCUUGAAUUUUCAUAUGCAUCAUUCCUUAAUUCCUCAAGUUCAUUCAAUUGCAAUUUUCGCACAUUACUAGCAUCAACCAAAUUUGAAUUAAAAGCUUUAAUAGCCCAAAGUGAUUUAUGUUCAAGUUCAACAGGUAAAUGACAAGGUUUACCAUAAAUUAACCGAUAGGGUGACAUUCCUAAUGAUGUUUUAAAUGCAGUGCGGUAAGCCCAAAGUGCAUCAUUAAGUCUAAGAGACCAAUCUUUUCGGUUUGGGUUAACCGUUUUUUCCAAAAUUUGUUUUAUCUCCCUAUUUGCUAAUUCAACUUGACCAUUUGUUUGAGGAUGAUAAGGGGUAGCAAUUUUAUGUGUAAUUCCAUAUUUCUUCAUUAAAGACUCAAAUGACUUAUUACAAAAAUGCUUACCUCCAUCACUGAUAAUGGCUCGAGGGAUUCCAAAUCGACUUAAAAUGUUUUCUCUUAAAAAUUUAAUCACAGUUUUACUGUCAUUAUUUCGACAAGAAAUUGCUUCAAUCCAUUUUGAGACAUAAUCAACUGCAACUAAUAUAUACACAAAUCCAAAAGAUGAUGGAAAUGGACCCAUGAAAUCAAUUCCCCAACAGUCAAAUAUUUCAAUUUCAAGUAUGGGAUUUAAGGGCAUCAUGUUUCUUUUUGUAAUUGAUCCCAAUUUUUGACAUUUUUCACAACUUUUGCAAAAUUCAUAUGUGUCUUUAAACAUGGUAGGCCAAUAAAAUCCACACUGCAAAAUUUUAGCAGUAGUUUUUCUUGAAGAAAAGUGACCACCACAUGCUUCAGAAUGACAAAAAUUAAUGACACUACUUACCUCAUUAUCAGGAAUACAUCGCCGAAAAAUUUGAUCUGGGCAAUAUUUGAACAAAUAAGGAUCAUCCCAAUAAAAUUUCUUUACUUCAACAAAAAAUUUCUUCUUCUCUUGAGCAUUCCAUUGCAAAGGCAUUUUACCUGUAACAAGAAAAUUAACAAUAUUAGCAUACCAUGGCAUUGAAGUAACAGAAAAUAAAAAUUCAUCAGGGAAAGAAUCAUUUAUGGGUGUUAUAUCAUUGCAGAAUUCGGAUGUGAGUCUUGAUAGAUGAUCAGCAACAACAUUUUCAGCACCCUUUUUAUCUUUGAUGGUAAGGUCAAAUUCUUGUAGUAACAAAAUCCAACGAAUUAGUCUCGGUUUGGCAUCCUGUUUACUCAUCAAAUAUCUCACAGCAGCAUGGUCAGUAAACACAACAGAUUUAGAGCCAAGCAAAUAUGAACGGAAUUUGUUUAAUGCAAAUACCACAGCAAGUAAUUCUUUUUCAGUUGUAGAAUAAUUCAUUUGAGCACUAUCCAAAGUCUUGCUCGCAUAAUAAAUCACAAAAGGCUUACCAUCCCUUCUUUGUCCUAAAACAGCACCAACAGCAAAAUCACUUGCAUCACACAUUAAUUCAAAUGGCAAAGACCAAUCAGGAGAUUGCAUAAUAGGUGCAGAUGUUAAAAGACAAAUUAUUUUUUCAAAAGAUUUUUGGCAAUCAUCAUUCCAUUCAAACGGUGCAUCUUUUAAUAAGAGGUUACAAAGUGGUUUAGAUAUGGCACUAAAGUUUUUUAUAAACCUCCUAUAAAAUCCUGCAUGUCCUAAAAAGGAUCGCACAUCUCUAACUGUUUUUGGUUGUGGCAAUUUAGAUAUGACUUCGAUUUUUGCUUUGUCAACUUCAAUUCCUUUAAUAGAAACAACAUGACCCAAAACAAUUCCAGAAGUAACCAUGUAGUGACAUUUUUCCCAAUUCAACACGAGUUCUUUUUCAACACAUCUUUUUAAAACUUUCUCCAAAUUAUCAAGGCAAUCAUCAAAAGAAUUCCCAAACACAGUCAAAUCAUCCAUAAAGACCUCUAAACAAUGUUCAACCAUAUCACAAAAAAUGCUUAACAUACAUCUUUGAAAUGUUGCAGGAGCAUUACAAAGCCCGAAUGGCAUUCUUUUAAAUGCAAAUGUUCCAAAAGGACAUGUGAAUGUGGUCUUUUCUUGGUCCUCAAGUGCUAUAGGAAUUUGAUAAUAACCUGAAUAUCCAUCUAAAAAACAAUAGUAUGGAUGUCCUGCUACUCUUUCUAAGAUUUGGUCAAGGAAUGGUAAUGGAAAAUGAUCUUUUCUAGUGGCUUCAUUUAAUUUUCUAUAAUCAAUGCACAUGCGCCAACUAGAUGUAAUUCGUGUUGGAAUUAAUUCACCUUUUUCAUUUUUAACAACAGUGAUUCCAGAUUUUUUAGGCACUACUUGUGUAGGACUUACCCACUUACUAUCAGAAAUAGGGUAGAUAAUUCCCACAUCAAGUAAUUUAAGGACUUCUAUUUUGACUACCUCUUUCAUGUGUGGGUUUAUCUUCUUUGAGGUUGUUGACAUAUUUUAGCAUUUUCUUCCAAAUUAAUUCUAUGUGUGCAGAUUAAGGGAUUAAUGCCUUUAAUGUCAUUUAAAGUCCAUCCUAUUGCAUUUUUAUGCUUUUUAAGAACAGUAAGUAACUUACCUUCUUGGUCGCUUGUUAAAGUAGAAGAAAUCACAACAGGAUAAGUUUGUUCUUCUCCAAGAAAAGCAUAUUUCAAUCCUUCAGGCAAAGGUUUCAAUUCCAUUUUAGGCGCUUCUUGUUGUUCUAUCUUUUCAAUACUUCCAAGCUCCUCAAAUUUUGGCUCGUCAUCAUAAUUUUGCGAAGUCUGCAUAGAAUCAAGCAACGAAUUUAUAUUAGAAAUAUCAAGUUUAAGUUGCUUAUUUGACUCAAUUGAAUUAACUAAACAAACAUUAGAAAGUUCAGAAAAAUCCCCUUUUUGAAUAUUUUCCUCGAUACAAGAUUCAAACAAUUCCUUUUGUUCAUCAGUAUCAUCUUCAUUCUCAUUUUCUUCAUUAGGUUGCCUGCACAUGUUGAAAACAUUCAAUUCCAAAGUCAUAUUCCCAAAGGAUAAAUUCAUUAAACCAUUCCUACAAUUAAUCAAAGCAUUAGCAGUUGCUAAAAAUGGUCGACCUAAAAUUACAGGAAUUGGUUUGUAAUUAUUCACAACAGGUUCAGUUUCCAAGACAAUAAAAUCCACAGGAUAAAUAAAUUUAUCAACUUGUACUAAAACAUCUUCCACUAUUCCUUUUGGUACUUUAACUGAUCUAUCGGCAAGCAAAAGUGUAGUUGAAGUUGAUUUUAACUCACCAAGAUUAAGUUGAAGAUAAACUGAAUAUGGAAGCAAAUUAACACUAGCACCAAGAUCUAGUAAAGCAUGCUCAAUUCUGUGGUUACCAAUAAUACAAGAAAUGGUAGGACAACCAGGAUCUUUAUAUUUCAACUUAUUAUUAGUAGACAGAAUUGUACUUACCUGUUCGGCCAUGAAAGCACUCUUUCUUACCUUCAAUUUCCUCUUAACAGUGCACAAGUCCUUUAAAAAUUUGGCAUAUGAAGGAACCUGCUUGAUUGCAUCUAAUAGAGGAAUGUUAACUUUCACUUGCUUAAAGAUUUCAUAAAUUUCAGAAGAGUGGUUUGAUUUCUUUGGUUUAUUCAAUGCAUGCGGAAAUGGUGGUUCAGGUGGAACACUAGUUAUUUCUUCACUAGGUGUAAGUUCAUUUAGUCCUUCCUUACCCUUUGAAUUUUCAUCAUUUUCAUAAGGUUCAGGCAUAGGUCUAUCAACAACCUUACCACUACGAAGAGUUAUAACUGACUUGACUUGGUCUGUGGGUGGAUUUUGUUGAAUUUUAGGAUUUGGUUGUGGUUGGGCUGGAAAUUUUCCUUUUUCUUGAAUGGUGAGUGCAGAAGCAAUUUUAGCAAGAGUAUCUUUCAAAUCAGAAAAAGUUUGUGCAUUUUGAUUGUUAAUAACAUCUUGCUUUCUGAUGAAUGAAUGCAUUGUGUCCUCCAGAUUUUUCCAAGGUGGUGGAACAUAUGGUGCAUAAGGCUGAGGAUUUUGAAAAUUUUGUGGAGGUGGUGCUUGUGAAGAUUGUGCAUUAUUAUUAUUCCUCCAACUGAAAUUCGGAUGAUUUUUCCAACCAGGAUUAUAAGUCUGUGAAUAUGGGUUUGGUUUAUUGAAAGUGUUAAUAACAUUAGCUUGAUCAUUUAGACAUUCUUUAAGUGCAGGCAAAGUGGGACACUCUUGAGUGAAAUGAUCAUUCGAAUUACAUAUGUUACAUGCAAUUUCUUGAACAGAUUUUACUUGAUCACUCUUUUUAUGCUCCAAAGCUUCAACUUUCCUAACUAGGGAUGCAAAUUUUGCUUGUAAAUCAUGAUCUUCCCUAAGGUUAUGGAUUCCUCCACUAGAUGGAGAUGAUUGUUGCUUAUUUGUCAAUUCAAAAGUUCCAACAGUAUCCCAAUGUUGUGCAUUUUCAGCUAAUUGGUCAAGGUAAUCUAGUGCAUCUUCAGGAUUUUUAUCCCUAAAUUCACCAUUACACAUCAUUUCAACAACCUGUCUACUUUGGGGUAUUAAGCCUUCGUAGAAAUAAGUGACCAAUCGCCAAGUUUCAAAACCAUGAUGUGGGCAUAUGUUAAGCAACUCUUUAAACCUAUCCCAACAUUGGUAUAAUGUUUCUCCAUUUUUUUGAGUGAAAGAAGUGAUUUGCCUUUUAAAAGAAUUUGUUCUAUGAGGUGGAAAGAAUUUUUUCAAAAACUGUUCUUGCAUGUUAUUCCAAGUUCUUACUGAUCCAGAUCUAAGGUUUUGUAGCCAAGUUUUAGCUUUAUCUUUUAAUGAAAAAGGAAAAAGCUUUAAUCUAAUUAUGUUCAUGCUACAAUUUUGGUCCGUGUAUGUAUUACAAACUUCCUCAAAAUCUCUUAGAUGCAAGUACGGAUUCUCAGAUUCUAAACCAUGAAAUGUUGGUAAAAGUUGGAUAAUACCUGGUUUAAAAUUGAAUCGAGAUGCUUCUGGAGGAAAUACUAUACACGACGGUGCUCCGGUUCUGGUUGGAUUCAUGUAGUCUCUCAGAGUCCUUGGUUGAUUCUGAUCAUGCCCAUGUUGAGAUUGGUUGUCUCCCUGAUCAAUUUGAGGAUUAGGUUCGCCCAAAACGUUUUCGCCUUGAUUCUCAUCCAUGAUUGGUGGUGGAGAUUGAGAUCUACGAAUUAACCUGCCACUUGAAGAUCGAGACCAAUGUCUCAUGCAAGGGUUAUGUUAUAAAGAUAAUAUUUACACAAAUUGAUAACAAAAUAAAAUAAAAAAAUAAAUAAGUAAAUAAUAUAAGUAUACAAAAGAAAAUUAAAUAACAAAAAUGGUGGUUGAACCCACCAAUUAAAAAAAUAAAAAAUGCAAAAUUAAAUAAAUACUGAAAAUUAAAUAACUGAAAAUAAAAGUUAAGGGUUAGUAGUUAGUUUGGUGGUUAAACCCACCAAUAAAGCAAAAAAAAAUAAAUAAAUAAAUAAAUAAAUACGAAAUAAAAUAAAUGCAGAAAAUUAAAUAACUGAAAUUAAAUAAAAGUUAGGAGUUAGCAGUUAGUAAGUUAAGAGUUAGUAAUUAGAGUUAGUAGUUAAAGUUAGUUUGGUCCAAAAUAAGUCCAAAUAUGUCCAAAGUAUGUCCAAAUAUGUCCAAAGUAUGUCCAAAUAUGUCCAAGUCUUGAUUAUGUUGAGGAAUUUCGUCUAGGGAUUCUAUUGCAAAUUAUUUUUAAUUUUAUGGUCAAACUAUAAUUUUUAGAAGUUUAGAAUUAGCAAUUUGGGAUGAAAGUGAAACAAUUGAAAGAUAUCGCGGUCCGAACAUAAUUACCAGAAGAUUGGGCUAGAAACGGAAAUUGUUGGGGUGAAAUUAGAAUUAUGAAAGAUAUGGGGACAAAAGAGAAUUUAAGAAAAGGAAAAGGGGGCAAACGAAAUUUUACAUAUAAGAGAAAAAUAAAAACGGAAAAACAAACCAAAUAAAAAACUUUUCCCCGGCAACGGCGCCAAAAACUUGACACAACUUAAAAGUAAAUUUUAACUCCCAAGUAUAAGAGUGUCUUGUUGUAUUAUAACUCGGUGAGUCCGAGGUCGAUCCACAGAGAAAAGAUUUAAUUAGUUUAUUUUAUUUUAUCUAAAAAUUGAAAUUAAAACUUGAAUAUAAACAACUUAAUUUAAAUGAAACUAUGGAAUUGAACUAGUUAGGGUUAUGGAUCCACUCUUAGAAAUAAAUAAAACUUAAUAAAUUCUUUUUGCCAAUUUGUUUUAGAUUUAUUACUCAAAAGAUUAAUUAUACAAAUUAUUAUUAUUUUCCCUUUAAUUUUAUGGUGGAUUAAGUAUUUAUUGUGCCAAAAUUUAAUUUGUCUACAAUAAGUCAAAAUACCAUUUCAUCAUGCCUUAUAUUAAGAUCUUAAGAAUUUAUUGUGCCAAAUUCAUUUGUUUGUCUACAAUAAAUCAAAUUUUCAAAAUAUAAAACAUGUAUAAAAUUAAAUAGAAAAUAAUUUAAUUUAUAAAAUUAAACAUAGAAUUUGAUUAAAUCCUAUUUAUUUCUUAAGAGUUUCACCUUCCCCUAACUAAUAUUAUUUAGUUAAGCAUAAUUAAAAUAAAAAGAAGUAGUAAAAUUGAAUUACUUAUAAUUAAAAGAAAUAAAAACAACUAAAAUUGGAAAUAAAACUAAUUUUAUUAAUGAAAAUAAUUAUACAAAAUAUUAAAAACACACCUGGAAAUCAAGAUUACAAGGAGAUGGAGAGAAUUUGAGAAGAAGAGAGUUGUAGAGAGAUGAUUAAAACAUAAAAAUGAGGCUCUAUUUAUAGAAAAAUAAAUUCAUAAUCCAGUGCUUUGCGGUCCAUCAUAGGCUUCAUGCAUGUGCUCCUCACAACCCUUAGAUCAAGAUCCAAUGGCUGGUCAAACUUCAAAAGUCAACAUCACACAUGGCAUCAUUUGACUCGUCCGAUUUACCCAAAGAACGGUUGAGAUUUGGCGGGUUAAUGGAUGGAUCGGGUCGACCCGAAUACAAAGAUUCGGAUCCUCCAACUUGCUUCACCAACCAUUGCCACGUGGCACAAUCAUGGCCAUUGAAUCAUGAACGGUUGAGAUUUAGUCAAGAUUGCCAAUUAUCCCAUGCACUCAUAUCUAUUGUAAGCUCAUUUCAUCAUCCAAUCAGUGCUCGGUCAACAGGAAAAGUCAACUUUUUUUACACAAGCCCAAUUUUAAGCCGAUCUUGACUGAUCUUAAGGUUUUCGGACCUCCGGAAUCCAAAUUUGACCUCCGUUUAUCUGUUUGGAGCCUCGAAGUACGUGAAAUUAAUAAUUUUCCUAAUAAACACAUAAAAAUACACAAAAUUAAAUAUAUUUAAAACAUAAUUAAUAAUUCAUAAUAUAUUACAUAAACACAAAUAUAAAUUAUAACAUAAGCAUAAAAUAACAUAUUAUCGCUUGAUAAUUAAACAAUUUUUAAUACUAAUCAUUUCUUACUUGUGGUGUCUUCCUUAAUGUACUUAGACUCCAAUAAGUCCUCUAUUUCUUUUGCUGUGGAUUUUGUUGUGGUACUUAUCAAAACAAAGUACUAGCAAUGGCAUUGUAAAUGUGUCCUAUGCACAGGUAGACAUCUUGCUUCCACUUUUGCCACACUCAAGUUUCUCAUCCUCACGUUCUUCAGGCUUUCAUAUUGUAAGAACAUAAACAACAUUGAGGCUUGUCAACAAGAAAUGUAAUGUUUUUUGCCAACGUAUAAAAGUUGUGACUAGGGGUGGGCAUGGGUUGGUUUGGGUUGGUUUUUAAGUCAAUCCAAACCAAACCAUAAAAAUUUGGAUCCAACCCAAACCAACCCAAAUAUUUUUAACCCAAACCAAACCAAACCAUUUGGGUUUGGUUUGAAUUUUAUUAUCAAAAUAAUUUUUAUUUUAAUAAAAUUUAAUUAUAUCAAAAUUAUAAUAAUUAUUAAUUGUUAUUAAUUAUUAAAUUGAUAUUAAAAUAUAAAAAAAUAUAGUGGAUAAAAAUUAUAAAUUUUACAAUAACUUAAUCCUUAAAUUAAAGAAUACUAGAAAAUCAAAAUAAAGUUUAAUCACAAAAAUUAUUAUUUCUCAAUAAAUAAGAACAUACACUUUAAUAAUAAACUUUCACAAACAUGACAUUAACAAUCUAAUAAUAAAUUAUUUUUAACAUAUAUUAUUUUUCCCCCUUCUCCUUUUAUAAUGGCCAAAAACCCCUCUAAUAGUAUAAGUUUACAAUAUUACCCUUAUUUUCAACUACUCUUUUAUUUCUAUUUAUUCUAAAUUAAAUAAAUCAUAUGAAUAGAAACUAAAUAAAAAAUAAAGCAUUAAAAAUAAGAAAUAUAUGUUUUGAUAUGAACAAAAAAAUUAAUAAUAAAAUUUUUUUAUACUUAUUUAUUUUGUGAAAAUUUUCUUAUAAUAAAUAUAUAAGAAAAUUAUUAGUCAAAUGAUAAAAAAAUUUUAUAAGAAAACUUGAAUGACAAAUAAAAAUUUAUUAUAAGAUAAAUAAUAAAAUAUUUUACCUAUACUUUUUACAUUUAAUUUUAAAAUAUUACAAAAUAUUUAUUAUAAGAAAAUGUUCACAAAAUAAAUAAUUACAAGAAAAAAUUUUAUUAUUAAUUUUUCUGCUCAUAUCAAAACAUAUAUUUCGUGUUUUAAUACUUAAUAUAGGCAUUACAUUCAAUUAUUGACCAAAAAUUAGCCGCCAUCUAGCAUAUCGGACCCAGUCCAAGCCGAGUUAUUAUUGAUCAUUAGUAGAGUCUCCUGCUCUUUCUAUGAUGAUCCUUCCAUGUGGGAGGAAUUAUUUUUGUAAAUAAGAAAAAAAAUUAUUUAUGUUAUUUACAAUAAUAUUUAUUUAAUUUAAAUUUAUUUUUACUAUUAUUUUCAUUUUCUAACUGUUGACAAUUGAUCACGCUGUAAAAAAUUUAAUGGUGGUCUUUCACUUAUUUGUGUUCAUUUAUUUUGUUUUCAUUUAUUUCAUUUGAAAAAUUUGAGUGUUGGGGUUUUGUCAAUAACCCAUGGGUAAACCAUACCCAAACCAUAAUGAAAUGGUUUUCUACAUAAAACCCAUAUCUAACCAAUUUUCAUGAUUUACCCAACCCAAACCAUUUAAUUUGGUUUGAGUUUGGAUAAACCCAUGGGUUGUGGGUUUAUGCCCACCCCUAGUUGUGACCAUCAACUGCUCUAAUUUAACAAAAUCUACUGUGAAUUGCGGAUGAGAUGAGCUCAGUGUCAUUGUUACAGAAAGAACGUCUUAUGAAUGUCGGGAAAAUAUAUUUUUAGGGAAUGAAAAAUGUAAUAAUGGCAAACGUAGAGAGUUACAGUAAUAAUGAUUAUGCCACAAAGAUAAUGAGUCAAUUAUGUAAUAAUGACAAACAUAGAGAGUUGCAGUAAUAAUGGUGGAAUUUUUUUCUAAUAAAAUAAUGAGUUUACUACUCUGUAGGUACAACGAAAAUAAUAGUAAUAAGUAAAUUGUAGAAAUUAACGUGUAUUUCAAGGCACUUUACAAAUAUUACUUUCUUUAGACGUUAUUCGCCCCCAUCAAUUGAGUGAUGAAUAUGGGUUAAACAAAUACGCAUCUACGAUACAAUGAAACACUUAUUUAUUUGUUUGCAUUGGGUAUCGACAAAAGCAAACCUAAAUACUCUUGAAUGUUGCAAGCUUGUCAAGAAUCAAUAUAAUUGUUCCUGUAGUAAACAAUAUGUUGGAUAUUUAAUGCAUAAAAUAUAGAUGUUAUAUGAUAAAAUUCGUUUUAGAAAGGAGAGUUUAGAAAAGAGUGUUAUAAGAAUGUUAUUUUCAUGUCUAAAUGGCCUAAACAUGGCCUCUAUUUAUAAAUAUAAUUGUGCCCUCCAUUUGGAUUGUCAUUUUUCAUGAUACCCAUUCGUUUAUGGUCAUUGGAUCAAGAUUUGAUUUUAAUCAAUUGUCUAAAUAAGUACAUCACCAUUUCAAAUGAAAUGACAAUGUGAAAUGAUACAUUUUUAAGUGGAAAGAUACCUUUUAUAUGGGACAAUUACUAGGACAAGUUUUUAUAAUAAAACAUCAUUUAUUUUGAAAUUGUUACAGCCCUAAGAUUAUUCUAGGUUAAGUUAAUCUAUUAUGUAUAACUUCAGAAGGUUCAUCGGUAGAUUGCUUUAAGUUUUUGUCAUAGUUUACAAAUAUUUUGUUACUUAUAAUGUAAGAAAUUUUACAAAUGUUGGUGCUGAGUAAUCUGCAUAAUUAUUAUGAAUCAGAGAAACAGGGCAGAUGUUGUACAAUUAUUGUUGUGGUGGAGCGGAAAGUUAGCCCGGACGGUGACUGCUAUUGGGAUUUCUUUAAUUUGCAGCAUAAAAGCAUUUACAUUGACAUCGACUCAAGGGUAAAAAUUAAAUAUCUCAUGUAGCAUAAGAAGAAUGCAAAAAUGCUUGAAUGAGCAUUCUCACUGAAUACACAAAAGCUACUUUCCCUUGAGCACUUUCGCAACAAAAGCAAAUGUAAAAUGUAGCAUUUAAUUCUAACAUCAAAUGGUUGAUGCCAUCGUUUCCAUCCCUUGGGGAAAUUGAAUUCCUCUAUCUGAUAUUACAGUCUGGAGCGGCUCUUAAGUACCUCAGGCAACUUAGGGCAAUUUAGGCGGUUGCUCAGGGCCCCACAUUUAACCUAGGAUCCCAUUAUAAAUGAAGGUUUCUAAGUUAAUUCUUAAAUUAUAGUUAUUAAUUAUUGAUUUAUAUUUAUUAUUUAUAACUAUAUUUUCCAUAAACAAACUACUAGAUUCUUUCAAAUCCCCUUUUAAUAUUAUAAUUAACAAUUUUAAUCCAUUUAUUUCCUCCGUAUAUUUCAUUUAAAACUCUAUAAAGGCCACACCUUUUUUAAAUUAUUAUCCAUUAAUAUCUUUUUCCAAUUAAAGAAAAAAACAAAACCUUCAUUACUUUGGUGAAAAAACUACUUUCUCUACCUUACUUUUUGCAUAAGGAAGAAAAGAAAAUCAAUCGUUUUACUUUCUUUUGAUCAUUGUUGCUCAAAGUCUCAAUCCAUCAAAGUUAAAUUUCUCAAAUUUUCAGGUUUUAUCUUCCGAUUCUCUUAUUAAUUAAUUGUGUUAUUUAGGUGUUUUUGUUUCUUUGUAAAAAUAUUAUUCUGUUCAUAGGUUGUUUUCUUUUAAUUAUCUAGCAUAAUAGUUUGCAUGAUUACUCUUGUUUCAUUAGAAAAAAAAAAUGUCUACUAAAAACUAUGCAUCAUGAUACAAAAAACUUCAUAAAAGGAGAAGAACAGAAAAGUUAGUUUAAUCUAAAAAACAAUGCUAUUGAUAAAAAAAUAUUUAAGAUCACCCAUUUCAUAAGAAAGAUUAAAUAGGUUAACUAUAUUGUCUAUUGAGAAAGAUAUAUUAGCAAAAUUAGAAUAUAAAAAGUUGACUAAUAAUUUUGCAUCUAAGAAAGUUAGAGAAAUUGAUUUUAAAUAAAUAAAACUUUAAUAAAUUAAUACAUAUAUUUCACCUCAAUUUUUUUAGAAGGCCUAAUUAAAUCAAUUUAUUUAAGACCUAAAAUAUGAUUGAGCCGCCUUGAAAUUGCAGUAAGAUAGAAAAGUGAAAUAGACAGAACACUUGCUCAUACGUAAAGAUGCGACGAAUUUGAGAAUACUUAUUAUUAUGUGCCAAAUUCCUAAUGUGUGGGAAUUUAAAAAUGUUAGUGCAUAACAUGUGUUUAUCGGUGGAGUAGAAUCAGGGAAAUUAAAGAUAAGCAUAAUUUUUGCAUCCAAUGCCAAAUUCCCCCAGGGAGAGAGUGGGGACUCCUUUGCAUAAAAGUUGUUAAAAGUUUAUUGUUAAUAAUAAAAAUAACAUGCAGAUACAGUAUUUUAGGUUAUUGUUAAUAGUUUUACAAUAAUAAAAAUCAUUUUGUUAGAUCGUAAAAUGUAGUACUCAUACUCUAUUUUGUGCAAAAGUCUGCGAGAAAGGAUUUCAGAUUUACCUAACGGGGAAGUUGGGAACUUGCUUUUUUACCUAGGCUAAAAAUAUUUCAAUAAAUUCUGAUCGUGGAGACUACCUGAAACGACCCGCCCCGAAACCCCCCAGGCGAGUCUAUCUAGUUACAUCAAAACAGACUUAAAAAUAAUAUUAUACGUAAAGAAUCUGCUGAAAAUUCGACAGAGUCUCCUUUAUAUAUAUAACACUCCCAAAGUACAAAUAUGAAUAUACAACAAACUCCAGUGCUCAACAUACUCAACCAAAAAUACUGAGUUAUAUAAUAUACAACCCCAAAAGAACAAGAUGACCAAGAUGUCCCAACAGAAACAUUUAUAUACUCUAGCACCAUCACGUGGCCAAGACUCAAAAUAUAUACAGUCGCUGGGUCGGUCUGGUGUACCUGCAACCUCCUGGUGAGGGGGGGAAAAUAUAAUAAAAACGGGGUGAGUUUAAAACUCAGUGAGAUUAGUGAGUGGAUAGUAGGUUUGAAAAUUGAUCUUUACUUUAAAAGAAAUAAGCAUAUCCAAACACGGUUUCAUUAAACCAUAAGUGAGAAAUCAGAAAUAAAUCAUUAAAUAUUUAAAUCAGAUUACCAACCAUAGAAAUCAUAUCACCAAAUCAUAUCGAUUUCACAAAUCUGAAAAUCAUAUCUCAUCAUAUCUCUGCAUGCAUAAUCUAGUCCCCAAAGGACAAAAGCGCCCAAGCACACGGCCCAAAGCCUCUGUGUGUACUCAGACGGGCCCCAAAGGCCUCCUUACAAUCAGAGCGCGCACCUCCCUUAUUACCCCUCAGUUUGGCGGGCCUCCCUUAUUACCCCUCAUCUAUAUCACUGUACUCAUAUUCACAUACCUCUUUACCACAUUUUAAAUCAUACCACAUUUGAAUCCACUUUUCUUAACUUUCAAAUAAUAUCACACUUUAUUCAAAAUCGAUACGCAAAAUUAUUAACCAAACAUUUUCAUAUAAUAUCAACAAGUGAAUAAAAUCCAUUUCGAGAAAUCAUUAAAUCAGCACAUUUAAAAAUACUUAUUCCGCAACCAUGCUUUACUAUCAUAAUUAACUCUAAAAAUAAGUUUCGUAUAUUCCACUCACAGUGACGGUGUUCAUAGUCGGUUAUCGUCUACGUCCGCGGACCGGUUCUCGCUCGCGGAUCCUCCUAAAUCAAGGAAACGACAUAAUUAUUCUCCGUAAAUCGGAAUUCCGACUAAAUAUAUGCAAUAACUCGAAACGAACAUUUAUCCAUAAUUAACAACUCCCGUGACGAUAAAAUUACUAAAAUGCCCUUGAGUCCGUAAAUCAUUAACAUGCUCCGAAAUCGUAAAUCACCGAAUUAUCCUCGAAAUCGUAAUUACACCCAAUUCACAAUUCUAUGAAUUACUGAAAUAUCCACAGGCUCAGAAAUGACAAAAUUGCCCUCAUAGUGUGAAAUUACCAAAAUGCCCUUGCCGGUCAACGGUCACCGGAAUUUGGUCAACGCUGGCCAGGAAGCUCAAAUCUUAAAGUGCCAAUCACGCUGAGUUCAAUGGUACCGGCGGUGAGCUCCAACGCGCGGCAACGACGCCGGAAUCUAGCUCGACAGCCGUGAGUUCCAACAAUCGACCGGCAGCAAAACGACGACUCUCGGUGCCUAUGAAUGGUCGGAAAUGGAAGAGGGAGUCAUGAGGAACAAAAUCCAACCGGUGGUGUCACUCAAAACCGGCGAAAAUCUCGGCGGAGUAAAGUGAAGCAGUCGCGGGUUUCAAGCUUCGAUCGCCGGCGUUCCGGUUCGUUUUCGGCAGUGAGGAUGGCAGGGGAACGACGGUCGGCUUCUAAGCUUCAGAUCGGUACCAAGCUCGGCCAAAACGGUGGUCGGAAACGUGAAAUCCGUCCGGGUUAAAGUCGCGGGUCGGGUCGGAUCCGGCGGGUCAAGAUCGGGUAAGUUGGCAGCUUCUCUCUCUCUGUUUUGCACGUGCAUGUGUUUUUCCUCUGUUUCCAACAUAUUCCUUUGCUUAUAAACUCUUUCACCGCCUCAUGCCAUUUUACAUUCACAGGUAUUACACUACCAAGAGUUUUUUUUAGUCAUAUAUAUUUAUUUUUUAGGGACCAAUAUGAAUAUUACUAAUUUUAUCGAGAUUAUUAAAAAAACAAUGUGCUAAUUUACCAAUAUGAUUUCUCCAAUCUUUUUUCUUUUCGUCAUUUAUUCCUUUGUGAAUUUGAGUUAAUGCUUGAUAUUAUUUUUGUGCUCAUUUUUUAAAGUAGAAGAUUAUGAAAAAGUGAACACACAAAAAGCAUAAAAAUUAUUAUUAGAUCCAAAUUUGUGCUAUUUCAUACAUAACUUGAGAAUAUUUAUAAUUACGCAUCACAACUAGUGGAGUAGAAUCAGGGAAAUUAAACAUUCUACAGUCAUUGACGUGUGGGGUGGGGAUAAGCAUAAACCUUUUCUAUGCAGUAUAAAAGAGUGCAAUAACUCCUUUUCUUUCAGUAUCAUCGCAACAAAAGCACAUCUAAUAACUCUUCAGAAUUCUCGUCUUCUUUGUCAGAAUGGUUGAUGCAAUCGUUUCCUCUCUCCUGGAGCAGCUGAUCUCUGUUGCGGCCGAUAAAGUGAAACAACAGGUGAGGCUUGUGACUGGUGUCCGAGAAGAAGUGAAAAAGCUUACCAGCAAUCUUCAAGCCAUUCGAGCUGUGCUGGAGGAUGCAGAGCAAAGGCAAAUGCAGCAAGACAAAGCUGUUACUUUUUGGCUGGAUCAGCUCAAAGACGCAUCCUACGACAUGGAAGAUGUGUUGGACGAGUGGGUCUUUGCAAGGCUCAAAUUGCAAAUUGAGGGCGUUGAUGAUGACAAUGCUUUUUCCCUUGCUCCUCACAAGAAGAAGGUACGUUCCUUCUUUCCUGCUGUAUCAAACUGCUUUGGUAGUUUCAAACAACUUAGUCUUCGUCUUGACAUUGCUGUCAAGAUUAGGGAAAUCAAUGAAAAGCUAGAUGAUAUUGCCUCCCAAAAAGCUAGGUUUAAAUUUGUUGAAAAUGUGAGUAACCAUGUUAAAAAACUGAAACAAGCGCGAACCACCUCCUUGAUUGAUGAGGGAGAGGUCUGUGGUAGAGUUGACGAGAAAAACGAGCUCUUAAGCAAGUUGUUGUUUGAAAGUAGCGAACAACAAAAAGGCCUUCAUGUCAUCUCACUAGUUGGGUUAGGGGGCAUAGGUAAAACCACUCUUGCACAACUGGCCUAUAAUAAUGAUGAGGUGAAAAGAAAUUUUGAAAAAGUUAUAUGGGUGUGUAUCAGACACUUUGGAGGAGAUUAGGGUUGCCAAUGCAAUCAUUGAAGGUCUAGCCGAGUCAGCUUCUAGUUUAAGCGAAUUUCAAUCUCUUCUAAGCCAUAUCCAUAGAUCAAUUGAAGGAAAAAAAAAUUUUCUUGUCUUAGAUGAUGUAUGGGAUGGGGAUUACAAAAAAUGGGAACCAUUCUUCCUAUGUUUAAAGCAUGGUCUCCACGGAAGUAAAAUUUUGGUUACUACACGUAAUGAGUCAGUUGCACGUAUGAUGGGAUCAACAAAUAUUAUUUUCAUUGAGCAAUUGACUGAAGAGGAAUGCUGGUCGUUGUUCAAGCGGUUAGCAUUUUUCGGUCACUCUUUCGAGGAUUGUGAAAGAUUAGAACCAAUCGGGCGAAAAAUUGCACGCAGGUGCAAAGGCCUGCCUCUUGCUGCAAAGGUAAUAGGGAAUCUCUUGCGCUCUAAAAGUACAAUAAAAGACUGGCAAAGAAUUUUAGAUAGUGAAAUGUGGAAGGUAGAAGAGCUAUGGAAAGGUCUUUUGACUCCUUUAUUGUUGAGUUAUAAUGAUUUGUCGUCCAAUUCUAUGGUAAAACGAUGUUUUUCAUAUUGUGCUGUCUUUUUGAAAGACUACAAUAUGUAUAAAGAGGAACUAAUUUCACUAUGGAUGGCUCAAGGUUACCUUAAUGCAGAAGAAUAUGAAGAGAUGGAGAUUACUGGGGAAGAGUGUUUCAACAUUUUAGCAGCACGCUCUUUCUUUCAAGAGUUUGAGAAAAAUGAUGAUGAUGAUAUUAUGAGUUGCAAGAUGCAUGACCUAGAACAUGAUUUUGCUCAAUUUGUAAGUAGCAAUGAAUGUUUGUGGCUAGAAUUUAGUGGUACCAGAGAAUCAGUCAUAAACCCUUUUGGUGAGAAAGUCCGUCACUUAGGGUUAAAUUUUAAAGAAGGCGCUUCAUUUCCUAUGUCCAUUCAUGGACUUAAUAGAUUGCGUACCCUCCUAAUUGAUGAUGAAAGUCCUUUCAAUUCAUCUCUUAAUAAUAGCAUCCUUCCAGAGUUAUUUAGUAAUUUGGCGUGUUUGAGGCCAUUAGUUAUAAGGCAAUCAUCCUUGCUUUUUCGUUAUCCCCCAAAUGGGAUUAGAGAAAUUCCAGAAAAUGUCAGAAAAUUGAUACAUUUGAAAUGUCUUAAUUUGUCUGAAUUACACAUAAAGAGACUACCUGAGACUUUGUGUGAAUUAUAUAAUUUACAAAAGCUAGAUAUUAGGGGGUGCCGAAAUCUAAGAGAAUUGCCUGUGGGGAUCGGGAAGUUAAAGAACAUGAGGAGUUUACUAAAUGGUGUUACUCGUUCGUUGAAGUACAUGCCAAUAGGGAUUUCCAAAUUAACCAGUCUUCGAACAUUAGACAAGUUUGCUGUGGGUGGAGGUGUUGAUGGUGGCAGUACGUGUAGGCUUGAAUGUCUGAAAAAUUUUCGACUCAUUCAAAAAUGUGGAAUAGAAGGGCUGAGUAAUGUGUCACAUUUAGAUGAGCCUGAGAGAUUAGAACACAAAAAUAUGGAAAACCUCCUUCAUUUGUAUCUUUUGUUUGAAGUUGUAGAUUAGGAAGAUAAAGAAGAGGAUGAAGAUGAAGGUGGGGAAGAUGAAGGUGAAGAUGGAGGAUAUGAAGAAGAAGGAGGUGAAGUUGUAAAUGUGGAAGAUGAAGAAAGGAGGAGGAAGAAUGAGAAAGAUGAACAACUUCUUGAAGCCUUAAGCCGCCUUUGAAUGUAGAGGAAUUAUGGAUUUUAUUAUAUGGAGGCAGCAUUUUUCCCAAAUGGUUGACUUCGCUAACCAAUCUAAGGAAUUUAUUUCUUCACGGGUGUCUUAACUGUGAGCAUUUGCCUCCUCUGGGAAAAUUGCUUCUGGAAAAACUCGCCCUGCAAAAUUUGAAUAGUAUAAAAAGAGUGGGCAAUGAGGUUUUGGGAAUAGAGGAAAGUAGUGAUGAUGACCCGUCUUAAUCUUCAUCAUCAUCAUCAGUUAUUGCCUUCCCCAAAUUGAAAUCACUCAAAAUUUGGGACAUGGAAGAAUUGGAAGAGUGGGAUUACAGGGUUACGAGGAAGGAAAACAUCUCCAUCAUGCCACGUCUUUCUUCCUUGGAAAGGUGUUGCCAGAUGACCUUCUUCAAACGUCGACACUGCAGGAAUUGAGUAUUGGGGGAUGUCCUAUUUACUUCAGUGUACGAUAAUUUGUUACGUGAAACUUCUUGAGAGACUGAAUUUCUGGGGUACUUUGUAGUAAUGUUGAAAACUAAGUGAUGGCUGGGUCUGCUCUGUUUCAGUUGAGGAUGGUUUGCUUCCUGGAAGACAUGCUGAUUAUUAUUGCAUGAUAUUAAGGUGCUGAGAUCAUCAUUUCUAUCUUGUUUCUUUCUUUGAUCGGUUUAUCCUCUAUAAGCAUAUGGAAUUAUGCUAGUAUUAUCACUUCUUCACUCAAUUUUCACUGUUGGUUGUAAUAACCAUUUCAGGUUCUCAAAAGCCUCAAAGCAAAGCAUCUUUGGGCUGAUCAUAUAUUUCAAUUGACGAAGCAAUUCGAUGUUGGCACUAUUAUGCAGGUAACCAGAGUUGAUAAUUUGCACAAAUUUGCAUUGUCAGAAUACCCUUCAUAUUCACUGUGUUUCUUUGUGUAGGUAUGUAGAGUAUCAUCUUCAAGGGUUGUAAGAGCCUUUGCAGUAAAUUUAGCUGCUCGUGCAAUUGCUCAUUCAUCGGAGUACAAUUUUGGAUUUUCAAGGUUUGUAUGCUCAGUUGUAAUUAAAAUGCUUAGUCACUUAUUCCUAAUCUUUCUGAUUUUCAAGUUGUUUUAGGUCCAUAAACAGUUUUCAAACAUGUUUCAAUGCUUCUUGUAAUGACAAUUUCAUAUCUUGCAUCUCUAACGUGCAUCACGUUUGAAACAGCUUUCGCGGUAAAGUCUUCGAUGCUUCUACAAUGGCUGUGAAGAGGCACAUUAAAUUCGGUACAUUUUGGUACGGCCUCCCAAUGCUGGUAUAAUGUUGUGUAUAUUUAGUUUGCAAUUAAAACUUAGGUAUACAAAUCUUAAUCUGCAAUAGAUCGUAGUGUACAAAGUUUUCUAUUAAUGAUAUGGUGACUGAAAGUUUAAUUAUCUUAAAAUUUUUCUAUGACUCUCUUUUACUUUCUUUGUACAGAGUACCUGUUUUGGCUGAUGUGUCUAAUUCAUAGAAAUUCAUUUCCAUCGGUUUCCAUUGGUUUGAGCACAAACAGAAACAGAGGUCUGAGGAAAAGUUUUAUUUCUUGCGGUAUUAUGCCUUUGUUUCUUUAUUCACCAUAUUUGUUCGAAUUCAUGCCCUCAUUAAGAAUUUAAAGCCUUUUCCAGGCAGCUUUGUAGGCUACCUUAUGAAAUUGGAAAGUUAUUAUUGCUUGAAUGCAAGCACCGUCUUCUGUUGCGAAGGCUUUCCCCACAUGAUGAGAUGCUGUGAUUGUUACCGGACCCUUAAUUAUUUAACUCAGGAUUUUAUCAUCAACCACAUCAUCUUAUUCACCAUUUUGGAUAUAUAUAAAGAUUAAAAUUUCUAACAGUUGUUUCGGAUUCUUGUGUAAUCAGAUAAAUGGGGCAAAUGUCAGAACAAAGAUUGUUCAGUGUUGCUGGUAGGGCAAGGAUGAUGAUGGUGAGGAAGAUUGUUCACAAGCCAAGUAGAGCUAGGGAUGGCAAAACAUCGGGUCGGGCUCGGGCUUGGCCAAACCCGACCCGACCCGAUCAACAAAGAAUUAAAGCCCGACCCUAAAAAAGCCCUACCUAUUUAUAAUUAGGGUUGGGUCGGGCUCGACCCGAAUCGGACCAACCCUACCGAAAUCUAUAAUAGCAACAGCCACCACAGAGCUAUUUUCCAAAUUCACCAAAUCGAACUCUGAAAAUCCAAUCAAACUUUGGCUUAUAAAGCCAAAAUCAUUGCUUAAUUAAACCUAUACAGAAAAUAAUACUUCCACUCGCUGAAGAUUUUCCUCGAGUCCUCAUAUGUUUCUCUGUUUACUUGUCUACGAACAGCAAACAAGAAGUUUGCUAUUUCAUAUCAGUGUCGCACAAUAAAAUAAUUAAUUAAACAAAUUAUUAAAUUUACAAAGAAAUCAAUCCCUAAGCUGGUAUAGCAUCCACUAGACUACUCUUUUUAAUCGUUAAUUAAUAAAUAGUUACUGAUCUAUAACAAAUUCUUUCCAUCACCACAAAAAUAAAAUAAAAAUUCAUUGCCAUCUAAUUGGAUUAUAAGAUACAAUAACAAUUGGCAAUUGUAUUGCCAUCUAAUUUCAUUACCUAAACUUAAUUAUAAGAAACAAAUUGGCUGCUGGAAUAGAGGACAUAAAGAAGUCAAAAAUUGAACUUACAAUUUUGGUCAUAAACUUAAUUUGAACUUACAAUUUUGGUCGGAAAUAAUUACAGAACCGAUCGAGAGUAUUGCUGGUUUUAUGGGUAAAUAAAAAAUUGUAUGCAGUGCGGCGACGGGCGGCUGGCUGGUUCACUCACGUCGCGGCGUCGCGGACGGUCACGAUGGCGGAUUGGCGGUGAGANNNNNNNNNNNNNNNNNNNNNNNNNNNNNNNNNNNNNNNNNNNNNNNNNNNNNNNNNNNNNNNNNNNNNNNNNNNNNNNNNNNNNNNNNNNNNNNNNNNNNNNNNNNNNNNNNNNNNNNNNNNNNNNNNNNNNNNNNNNNNNNNNNNNNNNNNNNNNNNNNNNNNNNNNNNNNNNNNNNNNNNNNNNNNNNNNNNNNNNNNNNNNNNNNNNNNNNNNNNNNNNNNNNNNNNNNNNNNNNNNNNNNNNNNNNNNNNNNNNNNNNNNNNNNNNNNNNNNNNNNNNNNNNNNNNNNNNNNNNNNNNNNNNNNNNNNNNNNNNNNNNNNNNNNNNNNNNNNNNNNNNNNNNNNNNNNNNNNNNNNNNNNNNNNNNNNNNNNNNNNNNNNNNNNNNNNNNNNNNNNNNNNNNNNNNNNNNNNNNNNNNNNNNNNNNNNNNNNNNNNNNNNNNNNNNNNNNNNNNNNNNNNNNNNNNNNNNNNNNNNNNNNNNNNNNNNNNNNNNNNNNNNNNNNNNNNNNNNNNNNNNNNNNNNNNUGUUAUUAGAGUGAGUAGAAAUUAAGCACAUAUCUGCGAUUUGGGUUGUCGGUGAAUGUUUUCCUUUAAUAUUUGUACACACCCAUUUCUUAGUAAAAUUUUCUUCAUGUCUAUUACUAUGACAUAGGCUAAUAGCCGUACCAUAUAACAUUAUCUUCUUAUUUCUUUAUGCUUGGUUUUGCUACAUAUCAUUUCUGUACAUUCAAGAAUGCAAUUUUGUAACUACUUAACUCUGCUUCGGCAAAGUUAAGUAGUUACAAAAUUCUUUUUUUUUUCCUUUUUCUUUCUCCGAUAAAAUUGCCACAAAUGGAAGCGAUUGGCUUGAUUUUUGCUUCUGUAAAAAGUGGUGGGAGCAAUGUCUUGUGUACCCGCAAGUUAUAAAUCGUCAUAGUUUAAAUGAAGAAUCCAGAGUUGCCAUCCAAAACUAAAGAAAUUGCAAAUUAAGUAGUUCAUUACAAAUGAUAUAUUUUGAGUUGCUAAUUAUUAAGUAUUUUAUUCAAAAAUGUUCUCGUUCCCACAAUUCCUAAUGUUUAAAGUGCAUCAUUGCUCUACUUCCGUCAUAACAGCAUAAGAGAAUUUAACAUAAUACUAAGAAAAUGAUUAUUUUACCCUAAAUGUAAAUGAUUAUUCUACCCUUGACAUAAAAUAACUAAUUUGCCCUAAUUUAAUAACGAAAAAAAUAGAUGACUGCAAUAUAGAUAUUAAAUAAUAAAUAAAAUAAAAAAUCAGAAUUAAGCUAAUUUGUUCAAGACAAUAUCUUUAGUUGGCAUGUAAUUUUCAUUAGCCGGCGUCUACUCUUAAUUUAUGUCAAAUUAAGUAAUCGCUUCGCCCCAAUAAUGUUGCCUUUGAUCUCUCAGCCCCAGUAAAAGAAUUGGCUGAAAGAGAAUGUUGGUCACUGUUUAAGCAAGUAUGCUUUUGGCGGUCCUUUGAGGAUCUUCAAAAUUUAGAACCAAUCAAAAAUAAAAAAUUUCAUACAAGUGUAAAGGCUUGCCUCUUAAUGCAAAGGUAAUACGAAGUCUCUUGCUGACAUAUACAUCCUUUACUUUAUAAUCUUUUACUUUUGCUCUUAAGCUAAAGCAUUAAAAGGCCCCAUAUCCACUCUUUAUAUAUAUAUAGGGAGAAUGACAAUUUUCUCCCAUACUAUAAUCAAUAUAUAUCAUUUACGUCCUACUUUUUUAUAAUAACCAAUAAUCCUUGGAUAGCAUAAUUUAACAAUAUUAUUUUUGGUUUAUUUUAAUUUUUGUUCAUUUGAUUUCAUAGUAGUAGUUUUCAUUUUUUUAGUUUAAAAUUUGUAAAAUGAACUAAAAUGAGAUAAUUUUGAAAAAGAAUCAAAACAAAAAAAGGCCCAAAAUUACCCCUGUUCCGAACAUUAUCUGAAUCCAUCAUAAUUGACCCAAAUUCAAAUUUAACUCAAACCCAACCUUGGCCUCAUAUAAUUAUAACCUGAUCCGAUCUAGACUCAACCCCAAAGUUUUGAUUUGAUCUAAUCCAAUUCGAAUAUUCCAAGCCAAUCAACCUAAAACCCAAUCAAGUUGAUCCAAACCCAAAUUUGCGCACUCCUAGAGGGGACCAUCACCCUAUAAGCUUUGAAUUUUUUUUGAGGUUUUUAAAUGAAAUAUUCAAAAUUAGGUAUAAAAUGACUGAUUUGCCCUGGAAUACUUGAUACAUAUAAUGAAACUUUAAUUGUAUAUUUUGUGAAAUAAAAUCAAUUAAACCUGAUUUUUUUAUUUGUUAAUUAUUUUUCAUAGCCUUUUUUAAAAGUUUGUAAGUUUGGGCCUACCUCUUUGAUUUUUAUUUUGUUCAUUUUGCUUUCUCUUGCAACAAUAGUUUCAAAUACCAGUCACAAAAUUCUCAAAUUUUGGAAUACCCUACAUACUAGCUAUAAAUAGAAAAAACUGAAUAAAAUUAAUCCCCAACUAACACUUGAAAUUUGAACUUGGGCCUCAUGAAGAUUUACUCAGAGCUCCGCCCCUGAUAUGCAAUAAAAUAUUAGUUUUGCUAGUGAAAUUGCCAAUUAUGUUUUUUUUUUUUGUAUUUUCCGCUUAGGGAAGAAGAAAUUUCCUACAACUAUUGUGGUGAAUAUCUUGUGAAUUUAUGACAGUUUAAUCUUUAGUUUGCCACUUGCUUAAAAUGAAAAAGGGAAAAGGGUAUUUAUAUCUCUAAGGUUUGGAGAAAUAGUCACCAACACUACAAGUUUUUUAAAAAGGACAUCAAGACUCCUUUUUGACCACAAUACCCUUUACCUUUAGUAUCUCGAAAAAUUUAACUUGCAAAUGAAUAAAUACAAAUAUUAUAUAAAUAAUGUAAUCUACGUUGUAGAUUAAUAAUAUUAAAAUAUUAAAAUAAAUUUAAAUAUGUAAAUUAAUAUAUUUAUUUAAUAAUAUAUUUGUAUUUAUUGUAGAGAUUUUAAAUAAAUAUUUGCAUUAAAUACAUUUUACAAUUAAAAAAGUCUCACAUACUAAUAAUGUUAAAAUUAUUAUUUUACAUAAUAAUUUAAAUUUUAAUACAUUUAUUUUAAUAUUAUGUUUACAUUUAUCAUAAAAUUUACUUUAACAUAAUAAAAUAUAUUAAUAGAUUGUAAAAUAUUAAAAUAUUUUUAAAUAUUGAAAUUAUUUUAAAAUGUAUAAAUUAUUACAUUUAUUUUAAUAUUAUAUUUCUCUUUACUAUAAAAAAUUAAAGUUAACUUUUGGGAUAAUAAAGGUAAAGGGUAUUGUAGUAAGAAAGAAGUUUUAGUAUCUUUUCUUGAAAACUUAAGAGCGUUGGUAACCAUUUCUCCAAACUUUGGGGAUAUAAAUGUCUUUUUCCUAACAAAAAAUGACAUUUUUAAUAGGAAAUAUAAUAAGCUUUGUUCUAUAGAAAAAUCCAUCAGAUAUAUUAUGCCCCCGGUUGCUAUGUUAAAAAUAAGUAAUUCUUCUUUUUGUAUAUUAAAAUAGUAAAAGGGUGGAUAAUAUUUAAAUUUUUUUUUUACCUUUUAUCUUUUUUGACAUUCGAAUUUUAAACUCGAGAAAUAGACUUCCUGAGAGGUUAACUAAAUUCUUAGUAAUUUGAUAUAAUUUCAUAACCGUUCUCCAAAAGCAAUUUUAUAAAUCAUUGUGGAAAAGCUUUAUUCCUUAGUUAUCUUUCGCAUAUUUUCUUUGUAGUAUGAUAUUUAUUAAAAUCAUUAUGGGACUGAUUUUAUUCUCUUUUUUUUCUCAACAAAAUAUCCGACUGCAGAUGUAAUAAAUUACUAAUUACAAUUAUUUGAGUCCCACUCUAAAUUAGAUUUUGAAAUAAAGUUACAUUCUCAAAUGACCAAAUGAAUUAACGAGUCUGACAAAAAGAUGUUGUCGGCCAAGUUGAAAAAUAUAAUAAAUAAAUUGUCAGGAGAUGAUUUUUUCUGAAAUUUCACUUUCAAGGUCCAGAACACAUUCAAAUUUCCGUUGAAAUUCAUAAUGGAUUCAUAUGAUCGGGCGAAAUUACACUAUACAAUUUCAUCAAUACCUAUUAAACGAUAAAAAAUUUAUUGAUUAUUUAUAAUUAAAAAAAAUCUAUCUACUAAGACUAUUCUAGAUCAACAAUUAAUAUAUUAAAUAUAACUUCAGAAGGUUCAUCGGUGUAUUGAUCUAAGCCUUUUGCAGUAGUUUAUAAAUAUUUUGUUGCUUAUAAUGUAAGAAAUUUUACAGGAGUUGAUGCUGAGUAGUCUGAAUAAGAAAAUUAAUUAUAUUGUAAGUUAUUGGGUAUUCAUAAUAAAAUAAACAAAUAAAAAAUGAAUAAAAAUUUAAAUACUUAAUUAAUUUUUAUCAAAUUCUUAUCAAAUAUUUAAAAUAUAUAUAAAAUCAAUUAAUUGAUGAUGUUGUUAAUUUUCAUGAUAUUUUUAAUAUUAUAUUAGUGAUUAUUAAAUUUAAUACAAUCAAUAAUGCUAUAAAUUAUUAAAUGGUUAAUUUUAUUGACAAAUUAUCAAAUAUGCAAAUAAUGAAAAAUUAAUCUCAAGAGUUGGUAGAAGUAAAGUUCCAAUUUAAUCAGAUGAUAGAUAAUAAAUAAAAAUAAUUUUUAAGUAAAUUAUAAAUUAAAAAAUAAUUAAUAUUAAGUAUAAAUAAACAAUAAUGAUAGAAAUUAAAGUCUCAUAAGAGUAUCUCCAAAAGACUCUUCAAAUAAGAUUCUACUUCUUAUUUGAAGAGCCAUAUCAAUAUUUAACACUCCAAAAGACACGUUAAUUUAGAUUCUUCAAAUAAGAUUUGUUUCUCACUCUUCAAUAUUGCCGAGUGAGUUUCUCCCUCUUCUAUUAAUAUUUUAUUAUUAUUUAUUGAAAAGAUAAGACUGCAAUAAUUAUUAUUUAUGUUUCUUUUAAAAAAUAUAAUAACAAUACAAUUUGAUAGUGGGAAAAUUUGAUUAAAAUAAUAUUAAUUUAUUCUUAUUUGGUGAGUCUUUUGGACGGGAUUAUAUUUUUUUAUACACUUAUUUGCCACAUCAGUAAGCAAAUUGAAAUUUAAAGAGUAAAAUUUAAAGAUCCUUUUGGAGAUGCUCUAAAUAGAUAACUUUUUUUCUUUAAUUUUAUCCCAACUAAAAUCAUGUGUAAAUUAGAAUGAUUAAUCCCAUAAUUGUAGGAUGAAACUUAAAUUUAGUCCCCGAGUCCAAUUCAAUUAAGUUUAACAAACAUGAGAUAAAUAUUUAAUCACAAAAUUAGUCCAAUUUCGUACUUAAUCCUAGUAUAUGAACAUGGAUUGAUAAAAUAAUUUAGGUAAUAUGCUUCUAUGACUUACAAUUUAAAUAAAUUUGAGAAUUUAUAUAAGGGAUGGAAAAUUCAUAAUAAUCAUAACAUGUGCUAUCUUUUCUUCCUUUUCUUAAUUAAAUAAAAGAAAAAUAUUCAUCACAGAACCACCGCUGUUUAAAAUGACCCGAUGAUCGAUGAAGUCGCAUUCGCCUAUCUAAUAUUGCGCAAUCAGAUAAAUUCUCAAAUUUAAAAUGAAUUUAAUCUGCAAUUAUAUCAAUAACUACACAAUAAAGAUUAAAAAAUUUCAAAUUAUACUUGAGUUAAAAUUUAAUUCUUUUUUAUUGUUUAAAGUAAUUUAUUUAUAAUUAUUUUAACCCAAUUAGAUUUAUUUUUUUUAAUGCUUGUUCUAUGACAGAAUUGGUCCUCAAAGUUUAAUUAAGCUUGAGAUGGAUACUCUCAGCAAUUUAUUACCUAUUUUAUUAGAAUCUAAGAGGAAAAGAGAGUUGCGAUUUGUAUGUGUAGAAAGAAAAUGUCAAAACGAAAUGUUAAUGUCACUUGUAGAGAGAGAGUUGGGACUGAUGACCAUAUACAUUUUUCCGCCCCUAAUAAGAGCUUGCUUGACGAUAGUGAAGAACUAAUGAGACUGAGGAUCUGCAAUUUAGUCAUGAAAAAUUAGUGACUAAAUACAACUAAAUUUCAGUUUUCUCUUUCUAAUUUCUUUGGGAUCCAGAAAAAAACAUUUCCCCCUCAAUUUUCUGUUUGCAAGGGGGUAACUGUAAGCACAGUCUGAUUUUAUUUUCAGGGAAUAAUAUCGGUGAACCACCGUCGGGAAAAAUUUGAAGUCUAAACAGGUCAUUCACAGAUAAGGCCAAAGAGUAAAACAGGUCGUUCAUCGUGCGUUUGGAUUCCUUUCAUCUUGUUAAUUAUUGAAGACAAGAUGAAAACGCAACUAAUGGGGGCCGUGUAUGGUGUAUAAAAUAGCAUUAAUUGUUGUCUGUGUUUGUUGUUUAAUGCUAUUUUAUACACCAUACAUGGCCCCAAUUCCAAUUAGGGGAAUUCAAUAUUUUAAUUUUUUGCAAGAUGACUUUCAUCUAUCUCAUUGGCAGGCCGGCCAAGACAGUAAUCAUCCAUUUCAUCUUAUGAAUUAUUGAAGACACGUAGCUGUUCGACGCCUGCACUUUUCAAAUCUGAAGAGCAAUUAGACAAUAUUUCUAUUUCAAAUUGGGGCCACACUCCAAAAACAUUGCAAUAAUUCUCUGUUUUAUACCUAAUAUUGCGCAAUCAGAUAGAAAAAAGGGUCGGCUGCAUGAUUUUUCCAACUUUUGUUUUAUUUUUUCUCUUUUCCACGGGCAUGGGCCCCGACCACCACAAAAUAAUUUGAGAAUGUUAUAUUUAACAAUUCUCUUUUUGUCGUGACAUAAUGGACUAAAACGGAAUCACAACUUUUUCAAAUGACCAAAUGGCUUCGCCCAACGUGAUAAUAAAAGGCCAUAUAGAUGAGAAAUGGAUCCAUACGUUAAAGCUAUAUUGAAACAUAUAAUAAAUAAAUAGUCAGGAGAUGAUUUUUAUCAAAAAUUUCACUCGCACGGUCCCGACCAAAUACAAAUUUGUGAUGAUAUUCAUAAUGAAUUUAUACAAUUAGGCGAAAUUACUCUAUAUAGUUCCAUCGAUAUAUAUUAUAUCAUUAAAAAUAUACUAAUAUUUAUAAUAAAAAAAAUUUAUGACUAUUCUAAAUCGACUGUAUUAUAUGUGAACUCACAAGAUUCAUCGAUAGAUUGCACUGAGCUUUUUGUUGCAGUUUACAAAUAUUUUGUUACUAAUUAUCUUAAGAGCGGCAAGUAACUAAAUACAAAUGUAAGAAAUUUUACAAGUGCUGAUGCUGUGUACUCCGCAGAAAGCUAGCCCACGACGGUGACUCCUGUGGGGACUCCUUCAAUUUGCAGCACAAAUUGACAUUGACUUGAGGGUAAAAAUUAAAAUAUCUCCAAUUAGUAUAAGAAGAAUCCAAACAUGCUUGAAUGAACAUUCUCUCAGAAUACAUAAAACCUACUUUUCUCAGAGCAUUUUAGCAGCAAGAAAAGCAAUUGCAUCAUUUACCAUUUGAUCUAAUAUCAGAAUGGCUCAUGCGCUCGUUUCCUCUCUCUUGGACCAGCUGAAUUCCAUUGCUCAAGAUCAGGUGAAAGAAAAGUGGAGGCUUGUGACGGGUGUCGAACAAGAAGUGGGAAAGCUUACCACCAAUCUUCAAGCCAUUCAAGCUGUGCUGGAAGAUGCAGAGCAGAGGCAAAUGAAGCAGGACAAAGCUGUUACUUUUUGGCUAGAUCAGCUCAGAGACGCAUCCUACGACAUGGAAGAUGUGUUGGAAGAGUGGAUCACUGAAACACGGAAAUUGCAGCUUGAUGAGCGAGGCGAUGAUGAUGAUGAUGAUAACGACAGUGCUUUUGUUACUUUUUUGACGAAGGUAUGUUCCUUCUUUCCUGUUGCCUCAAACUGCUUUGGUGGUUUCAAACAACUCAGCCUUCGUCAUGAUAUUGCUGUCAAGAUUAGAGAAAUCAGUGAAAAGCUAGAUGUUAUUGCCAGACAAAAAGAUAGUUUCAAAUUUGUUGAGAAUGUGAGUAACAAUGUUAGGAAACCAGAGCGAGUGCGAACCACCUCCUUGAUUGAUGAGGGAGAGGUUUUUGGUAGAGUUGAUGAGAAAAGUGAGCUAUUAAGCAAGUUGUUGGGUGAAAGUAGUGAACAACACCCUCAUAUCAUCUCACUGGUUGGGUUCGGGGGUAUAGGUAAAACCACUCUUGCACAACUAGCCUAUAAUAAUGAUGAGGUGAAAAGAAAUUUUGAAAAAGUUAUAUGGGUGUGUGUAUCAGACACUUUUGAGGAGGUUAGGGUGGCCAAAGCAAUCAUUGAAGGUCUAGGCGAGUCAAAAGAAGCUUCUGAUUUAAGCGAAUUCCAAUCUCUUAUGAGCCAUAUCUAUAGAUCAAUUGGAGGAAAAAAAAUUUUUCUUGUCUUAGAUGAUGUAUGGGAUGGGGAUUCCAAUAAAUGGGAUCCAUUCUUCUUUUGUCUAAAGAAUGGUCUCCACGGAAGUAAAAUUUUGGUUACCACACGUAAUGAGUCAAUUGCACGUAUGAUGGGAACAACAGAGUCAGAUACUAUCUCCAUUGAACAACUGGCUGAAGAGGAAUGCUGGUUGUUUUUCAAGCAGUUAGCAUUUUUUGGUCGCUGUUUCGAGGAUUGUGAAAAAUUAGAACCAAUCGGGCGAAAAAUUGCAUGCAAGUGCAAAGGCCUGCCUCUUGCUGCAAAGGUAAUAGGGAAUCUCUUGCGCUCUAAAAUUACAGUAAAAGAGUGGCAAAGAAUUUUAGAUAGUGAAAUGUGGAAAGUAGAAGAGAUUGGGCAAGGUCUUUUGGCUCCUUUGUUGUUGAGUUAUAACGAUUUGCCCUCCAAUUCGAUGGUAAAACGGUGUUUCUCAUAUUGUGCUGUCUUUUCAAAAGACUACAGUAUGAACAAAGAAGAAUUGAUUAGUUUGUGGAUGGCUCAAGGUUACUUUAACGUAGAAGAAGACGAAGAAAUGGAGAUGAUUGGAGAAGAGUAUUUCAACAUCUUGGCAACACGCUCUUUCUUUCAAGAGAUUGAAAAAGAUGAGGAUGAUGAUGAUUUUAUGAGCUGUAAGAUGCAUGACAUAGUACAUGAUUUUGCCCAAUUUGUAUGUAGAAAAGAAUGUUUGUGGCUAGAAAUUGAUGGUAACAAAGAAUCAGUCAUAAAUUCUUUUGAUGACAAAGUCCGUCACCUAGGAUUAAAUUUUGAAGGAGGCGCUCCACUUCCUAUGUCCAUUCAUGGACUUAAUAGAUUGCGGACCCUCCUAAUUGAUGAUGGAAGUUUUCUCUAUCCAUCUCUUCAUAGUAGCAUCCUUCCGGGGUUAUUUAGUAAAUUGGCGUGUUUAAGGGCAUUAGUUAUAAGGCAAUCGUCCUCAUUUUCUGAUCCUAGCCCAUAUUUGAUUACAGAAAUUCCAGAAAAUGUUGGAAAAUUGAUACAUUUAAAAUAUCUUAAUUUGUCUAAAUUAUGUAUAGAGAGACUGCCUGAGACUUUGUGUGAAUUAUAUAAUUUACAAAAGCUAGAUAUUAGGGGUUGCGUAUAUCUUAGAGAAUUGCCUGCGGGGAUUGGGAAGUUAAUGAACAUGAGGAGUUUACUGAAUGGUGAAACUGAUUCGUUGAAGUACCUACCAAUAGGGAUUUCUAGAUUGACCAGCCUUCGAACAUUAGAAAAGUUUGUUGUGGGUGGAGGUGUUGAUGGUGGCGGCACGUGUAGGCUUGAAUCUCUGAAAAAUCUUCAACUCCGUGGUAAAUGUUGUAUAGAAGGGCUGAGUAAUGUGUCGCAUGUAGAUGAGGCUGAGAGGUUACAACUUUACAAUAAGAAAAACCUCCUUCGUUUGUAUCUUGAGUUUGGUGGAGCCGUAGAUGGGGAAGGCGAAGCAGGGAGGAGGAAGAACAAUGAGAAAGAUAAACAACUUCUUGAAGCCUUACAACCGCCUUUGAAUGUAGAGGAGUUAAGGAUUAUAUUCUACGGAGGCAACAUUUUUCCCAAAUGGUUGACUUCACUAACCAACCUAAGGGAUUUAAUACUUUUCUUCUGCGUUAACUGUGAGCAUUUGCCUCCUUUAGGAAAAUUGCCUCUGGAAGAACUCGGACUAUUGAACUUGAAAAGUGUAAAAAGAGUGGGAAAUGAGUUUUUGGGAAUAGAAGAAAGCACUGAGGAUGAUCCAUCUUCAUCUUCAUCGUCAUCAUCAGUUAUUGCCUUCCCCAAAUUGAAAUAUCUCGAAAUUUGGGGAAUGGAAGAAUUGGAAAAGUGGAAUUACAGGAUUACAAGAAAGGGAAACAUCUCCAUCAUGCCACGUCUUUCUGCCUUGUCGAUUUGUGAUUGCCCCAAAUUAAAGGUGCUGCCGGAUUACAUUCUUCAAACAACGACACUGCAGGAAUUGAGGAUUGAGGACUGCCCUAUUCUAGAAGAACGUUACAGAGAGGGGAAAGGAGAAGACUGGCAUAAGAUUUCUCACAUUCCCCACAUCAAGUGGUCGCCGUAAGAUAUCACUCGCCGGUAAUUCCUCCUCCUCUGAUUUACUUCGUUAUUGCUUGUAAUGAAAUUAAUGAAAAUAAUUAUAUUUUGAAUUAAAAUUCUAUAUUAUUAUUAUUUCUCUCCUCGAAUGGUUGAAAUUUCACUCGCCCCGUAAAUUCUCGAAUGGUUGCAAUUACUAUCACCCGCCGGUAAUUUCUCUCCUCUGUUUUACUUCAACCAUUAAUUUAAUGGGUCACUCUAUGAUGUUGUUAUAAAAAUUAUAGAAUCAAUCAUGGUAUAAAUAUGUACUGUUAGAUUUAAUCAAUGGUUCAUGAAGUUAAAAGUUAAUUAGGAUAAUAUUUUAAAUUCAAUUAUUUAAAAUUUAAACUUCCUAGUUAUUAAAUCUAUUAAACUUGUUUUAUCAAAGCUAAAUAAUUAAAAAAAAAGUAUAGUCUGUUGAAAUUUCUAUAUUUUCUUUUAAAAAACAUGUAGUCUUUUGUAAAAUUUCAUACAACAUCAUAGAAAACCUAACGUAUUUUAUUUUUUAAUGCACGAAAAUUUGUUAUGUGUAACUUCCUGAGAGACAAAAUCUCUGUGAUGCAUUUGCAGUAAUGUUGAAAACUAAAUUAUCAAUUUUAUCUUGUAUAAUGAUAAUCGUGUUUUUUUAUAUAUAAUUUAUGUGACAUUAAUUCUUUAAAGUAAUUGUGUAAUUGUUUUUAGUAGUACAUUAGCCCACUUUGUUUUAUUUCAUACGAGUUUAAUAAUGUUCGCCAGGGAUUCGAGGAAAUGUCAGAACUACACUAAGAAUUCACAGGUCCAAGCUAAUUUAGUUUUAAUGAUGCAGGUAGGAGAGCAAGACUAAGAAAAUGAAAAGUUUAGCCAAAAGAUUACUAAAAUGUUCUGCUGGUAAUUCACUUGCCUUGUUUAAUAGAAUUUCAUUUCCAUCUUCUUCUAUUGAUAUCUUGUUGUGAAUAAACAAGAACAUAGAAGUAAAUAAUUGAAACGCAGAGAAGUAAAGAUAUAUCAAAAUUCGCUAUUAUGAUGAUGUUAAAGCAAGCUCAAGCAUUGCAUUUUUAUUUUAUUUAAUUUAUAGAAUUUUCAUUUCCACCUGCAUUGCAUUUUUACUUCAUUUUUAGGUUGACGUUGAAGACUCUUAUGGAGAACAUUGGAGUAACCAAGGAUUAUUACUGUGGUUAUUGUGCAACGUUUGGUUGCUGGACUUUGAAGAAGGAAGUGAUGGCCGGGUCUGCUCUGUUUCAAUUGAGGAUGGAUAGCUGCCUGAAAGACAUGAUGAUUAUUAUUGCAUGAUGUUUAGGUGCUAAGAUCAUCAUUUCUAUCUUGCUUCAUUCUUGGAAUCAUUUAUCCUAUAUAAACAUAUUGAAUUGUGCUAAUAUUAUCACUUGUGUCAAUGGAGGCAGGAAUUUGGUGCUGAAACUAUUAUGCAGGUAACCACACUUGAUAAUUUACACAAAUUUGCGUUGUCAGAAUAUCCUUUAAUAUUCAUUGUGUUUCUUUGUGUUAUCAGGUUAUCAUGGUAUAUAGAGUAUCAUUUUCAAGGAUUUGUAAGAGCUUUCGCAGUAAAGUUAGUCAUCACCACCUUGUGCAAUUGCACAUACAUUCAUAGUACUUCAAUAUUAGAUUUUCAAGGUUUGUAUGUUUAGUUGAGAUUAAAAUGUUUAGUCACUCAUUCUUAAUCUUUUCUGAUUUUCAAGUUCUUUAGGGCCAUAAACAGUUUUUCCAACUCAUUCUUAUUUUUUAGGUUGAUUUCGAGUACUCUGUGGAGAACAUUGGUGAGACAAAGGAUUAGACUGGCGAUGGAACUGCUGCCUCUGCUGUUAUUGUGCAAGGUUUGAUCACUGGACCUUGAACAAGAAAGCCUUACACGCAUUCUGUAAUUCAAGCGUUCUCUAAAACGAACGAGCAGUAGAAGGA